GCGGAAAUGUGAUAUAUUGAUUUGAAUGUGACACAUGAUUGAUGAAAGACCGCAUACUAAUUCAUUCAUGUUCUAUGUGUCGUUCUAUUUGCUUUUCUCUCAUGAUUUGCCAAAACAGCAGAAUGUAAAAAAGAAAAGUACGUUAGAUACUGUAACACAGUACAUAAUUUACAAUCCUUGGCAUUGAUCAUGCCACAAGGCUGAUUAGGAAUGCUGAAGUUGUUACAUGGUUAAGUCAUGAACUUACAGGUAUCCAUCAUCUGGGAUAUUGUUGCAAGGUUUACCCUGUGUAUUAUUUGCAUUGUUCUAUUGCAGCUACACUUUUUCUUGGAAACAACAUAUAAAAUAGUAGGUUUCUGCAGGUUGAUCUUCCACAUUGCUUUAUUGUUUUUCUAAUUUUCUGAAUGCUUAUAGUUCUCGUUGUAUUUUAGGCUUUGUUAUUCUAUGCGAUGGAUUAGGCUUCAUUGAGGAGAUAUUUUGUGUCAAGUGGAAUAAUUGGAAUUGCCAAACAUAUAGCUAGAUUUAAGAACGAGAAGUGGCUAAAUGAUGAUCACAAUCAAUUAGGUAGACAUGAAAAAAAAAACUGUUUUUUCUUGCAGAGAAAAUGCACGCACUGUUCUUCAACUUGCGUGCAUCGGUCAUUCAGGGUCAUGAACUUUGAAUCACAUAUUUACACUCCUAAACAUCUUUAAGGGGUUCACUGCAGCUCUUGGUAGCUCUGACUGAUUUCAUGUCGUCCUACGCCAUCAGGCCCACACGACAGCCAUUUUUACCUUCCAACAUCCAUUCUCCAACCUAAACUUCUUAAGGGGUUCAGAGGUUCUUUUAGCUAGGGCUGCAUUCAUGUCGUCCUAGGGCCCAUACGUGAGCCAUUGUUUCUACUCCCAUUUGUCCUUGCAGUCAGCAAUCUUGGCAUCGACCAGCCUCGCCGCCGCCAGUACUGUCUGCUCUUCUCAAUUCUCUCCAGGCAAUCUCACUAGGGCUGGCUGCGUCUGCCAAAGGGUUGAAACCCUAGGAUCUUGGUUCCAGUUAGCCCUCUUUCUGUCCUGCUCCUCCUCUUCUUCUUCCUUGAUCAAUCCUGCUCCAAUCAGGCUUCUUGGGCUGUUUAGUUCCGUAAGACAAACAACUUCUUCAGAUUAGUUUUUUCCCUUGGUCAAAAUACUACUCUUAUUAUAUUAUGGCGACCAUAAACCUAUUUGUGAUAGUGAAAAAAUCAUUUGAGUAGUGAUCACUUGUGACUUGGUGAGAUGAUAUGUGUGCCUUUUAUAUAUGUAAACCAAGUUCACUCACAAGCUGAUGUUAACUUCUCCGAAAAGUUGCUAAACAUUUUCUUCCAUUCUGUUAGGGAGAAGAUAAUGACAGUGCCCAGGAAGAAGACUCAGCGUGAUCUCAGAAGAUUGGAGAAAGCUGAAACCGCUGCUCAACUAGAAAAGGUUAUUUGUGUGUAAUCUUCAUCACAUGUCUAUUAUACAUUGCCAUAUUCUAACAUCUGCUCUCUGUCAUGCAGAAUAUUGAAAGUGAACUAAAGGAGCGCCUGAGGAAAGGUGUUUAUGGUGACAUUUAUAAUUACCCCUUCAAGGAAUUUGAUAAUAUUCUUGACAUAGAAAAUAUUGAUUUGGCUCCUGAGGAAGAGGAGGAAGAAGUAAGCAUAGUACUGAGUAUUGAGAACUAAGGCUGCUUCAUUGUGUUCUCACUGCUCACAAGCUUUCCCAUGUAUUGUUGGUUCACUUGCUAAUACAGGAAGGUGAGAUAGAGUAUGUUGAAGGUGAUGAGAUCGAGAUGGGUGACAUGGAAGACAUGGAAGAUAUGGAAGAUUUUGAAGGCCUUGGUGAGGAUGGUAAGCACCUGCAGGAUCCUCUGUUUGGCGUAGACACCUCUCCUUUUUUCUGUGUUACCUAGAUAAUUUGAAGAAACUUUACAUUUUAUAAAUUAUGGACCUUGAAAACUCCAUUCUGAUUUGUCUUUCCCUACUAACAUGCUACCAAUGUAAUGUUUGCAGGCGAUGAAGAUGGUGACGGUUUAGAUGAGCCAGUAACAAAAAAGCCCAAGGGAUCAAGCUCUAAUUCGAGAUCGAAGAUCGGGAGGAAGUCUACCAAGGUUAUCACCGAGGUAAAUCAAUCACUUUGAUAUGAAUACUUUUCCAUGAUGUCAUGAUAAAUUGUGUGACUUGAAAGCAUGGAUAAAAUCAAGCACAUCUUUUUGUUUUGUUACAUAUUGAUGUUAGUAAGAUCCAAUAAGUUGCUAGUGGAAAAUUGGUACUCCAUCCAAGGCACAUAAGUAUACAUGCAUUCGAUAUUUAAAACCUUUUGCCACAGUUACAUGUAAAAGUAUACGAGUUGGGAAUGCGAGAAUAAUAUCAUUCUAUUUUCCUUGCAAAAAUCCUUGAAUGUUAUGUAUCUUGAUUCUAUUCUUUACACAUAUAUUGCAAGGAAAAAAAUAGUAAAAAAUGUCAUCACGGAAGACAUUUCUCCUGAGUAUAUAAAAUGUCAUCGCUGAAGAUAUAUCCUGAAGCUAAUUUUGAAUUAGCUCAAUUCCUGUUUCAGUAUCGUUUAUUUCUCGCUUGUGUAUGGGACAGGUGGAACAAGAUGAAGACAGGAAUAGCAGGCAAAGGACGCGAAUGUGAAUCCACCAGGCAUGAUUUCAGUUAUAUGCUACUAGGUGUUGGUUCUAAUUUUGUUGUACUUUAGAUAAUUUAAUUAAUUUUCCCUUGUCAUGAUAAUUUGUAGAAUUACUAUUUGGUGAGAUUUUUUAAACUAGCCCAUCUGCAACUUUGGCUAAGCCUUAUUGGCAGAAUUCACACCGCGGUUUUUUAAUGUAUUUUAAUCGUCUCCAUCUUCUGCGCUAGCUAGUACUUGAUCAAACAGCUUGUUUUGCUCAUUGUCAGCACUACCGCCCCCAGGAGGUGUAUGCUUAAACUAUCUUUGUGAAAAGCGUAGCCUAAUUGAGCCCUGCCUUUGCUGCAACUUUUCUGCUUGUUCCACGUUGUCCGUGGAUUAUCUCGUGCCGUGUGACCGCAACGAACGUCGAUCACCUGGUGAUCUUACAGGCUUAAGAGUCAUGAACGCAGAGCAUGCAACAAGUUUGAAGCGCAGCCGCUGUAUGGCUGUGUGAUCUAUGACUACAAAGUCCACAACUUGUUACUCCAUGGUUUUGAAAACCGGACCGCCGGUUCCAAUUUGAACCUGACUGUGCCCGAUACCAAACCGGAAAAACAAAAAAGCAGCUGGUUUUUAUAAAAGGGUUAAUUGGAUCUAUGGAGAUAUGACAUUACAAAAAUUUGACUUGGAGAUAUGACAUUAAAAAACUUGACUUGGAAAAAUGUCACUUUAACUUUUUAUACCUCUAUUCACGUCAUUUCAACAGCCGGCCCAUCGAGUGGCGGCCCAAAUUCUUACAGAUGUUUUUUUUCCUUGUUCUGCAUUUUCUUCAGAUUGGGAUGCGGCUCUUGGCUCGUAGAUUAAAUCGCCGGCUGUACUUGUUGUUGCCUGAUCGAUGUAUCUUGCAUUAUCCUGCCUCAACCCUUCCAUAACAUACCUUAAUUCGCGGUCGAACUAAAGCAAACCAAGACGCUUUUUUCUUUCUUUCUUUCUCCAACACGCAGCAAAGUGGGCAUUCUGUUUUGGAAGGAGAGCGUCAAGUCUUACAGCAACAAAAACCAAAAGCCAGUACAGCAAAAGGAAGAUCGUAAUAGACUAUGAUAAAGCCAAACUUCAUCUGAGACCUUUGAUACUCCCCCACAGAGAUUGAGGCCCGCUUCCCUCAAACCUUUGAUUCCAGCAAGAUAUAGCACUAGACUAUGACACAAGGUUUCAACAGAGUGUUAAGGUUUCCAAAUGACACAAGGUAAGCCUGCCUGACAAACCAAUUUUGCUACAGUACUAUAUCUUGCUGGAUCCAGGUAGAGCGAGUAUAUGUGUUGAAACCAACCAAAUUGCCUAAACGCUACUCUCUUAUUUGUUUAAGUAAGCAAAUUUCAGUAAGCGGGAGAUGGUUCAGUGGCAGCAAUUAGCAACAGGGGAAUUGGCAGUGCGAAAAACAACCAAAUGCAACGUUUGUUCUGAACUAGAUAUGAUCAGUUGAUGAGAAAGCAUUACGACUGUUUUUGUCCUCAUUGUGUACUGACAUCUAAACAGCAAUUCCCAGAGGAAUUGCAUCUAUAUAACACAAGGCGAUGGUCAGAAAAACAUAAACAGAUGAUCAAUAUUUGUAACAUGCCAUACAAUUGUUAUACCAGCAAGCAAGCACACGAAGACAUAAUAUCACCUAGCAUAACACAAGAGGAAGACACCAAAUUAAAAUAAACCAACUCUGCUAACUUAACUCACUCACAACCAGAUCGAUCAUGACUAGGUCUGACGAAGCGACCAAGGAUCAUAUAUAUAAGAGCAGUACUAAUGACCUUCAUACAUGCUCAAAUUAAGUGCAUGCCAGCACAGAUAAGCAUUAAUUUCUAGCUAGUUUUGCGAAACACAUCCUGCUUGCAGCUGGAAAGCUAGUCGACCGACACGAUAUGAUUUUUUUUUAUUUUUUGCAACUGCCAGACAAGAGAUGUUGACUUCAUUGAUUUGACUUCUUGAACCAGGCCAAGGGUAAAUCAGUUGGUUCAGGGUAUCCCAUCAGCCAACCCAAGCCCAUAGGAAACACCUUGAGGAAAUAAAUCGCCCCCAGAAUCGUGAAAAAACGACGGUAGCUUUGACAUCUUCGAUUCAGGCGCCUGCAGGGGGGGUGGGGGGGGGGGGGGGGGGGUUGGGUUCAGAUGAUGAUCGUAUUGAAAAUCUGAAAACAGAAAGAGAAGACGAGAAAAUCUGUUUAUUUACCAGUGAGAAUCAUCAUGUCUAGGCUCAACUUGUGCAGAAAGGCUGUGCAGAAGCUCACUAUUCCGCCAGCCUCUGCUCCCGGUAAUCCUGAACUUGCUAUGGAAGUCAGACAUGAGGUCGUACAGCUCCUCUUCCUUCAUCAGGAUUUGUUCAUACUGAGCCACGCCUUCUUUUUUAUUGUGCAUGGUGCAAUCCUAGGAGGCACAAAAAUGAUUUACCAAAUAUUUUAAUUACCUAAUAAUCAUCUGAUAAUGAGAAUUUUGCUUACAUAUAUAGUUAGGGGUUCUGUUCAAUAGCGGCGGCUUCACGGCCCGACAGACCCACCUCUCCAGCGCGCCCAUUAGAAGGCCCAUCGGGAAGACGACCCUGCCGACCGGCGCCCUCGACAGCAUGCAGCUCAUUGCCGCCGGCAAGAGAGCCAAAUCCCUGCUGCCGCACAAUGGAUUGAUUGGGGAUGGACCCAACCCGACCUCGCCAGCAUCCGGGCCUCCGAGCUCGGCCAGGCCACGGCGGCCGCUCCACCGUCCCUGCCUGAUCUCAAGGUGGAGUUCGUCAUGGAGGUGGGGAAUUAGACUACGCGAAGGAGAACGGGCCGGGGGUGACGGGCUAACGGGUCCGGUUUGGUCUGACGUGGCGACCGAUCUCACCUGUCCGGACUCGAGCAAAACCAGCAACAUAAGCCGUUUCGGACUUAACGAGACAAUUUGGUUCAAAAAAUGUGGUUUUGCGAGCGGUAUUUCGUUAAGUGUGGCUCCGCGAUAGAGCUGCCUUAAAAAGUGUGGUUUUGUGAAAUUUAAACGAACAAUUAGGAACGAAUGAUGCGCGCGGAGAGAAAUCGACCAAAGGAAGUUGGUAAAGGUAACGAACCCUAGGUCUGAUGCUGCUGAAAAUUAAGUCUGGCUUGGGGUUGGAAUUGGUAGAGCAUUGCCGUUGGCCGGAGUGCAGUGCGGCCAAGUUGCCGGAGAGCCCAAGUUGCCGGAGAGCCGCCGCCGCCAUGGAUUGAUCGAGUUUCGCCCAAUGAAUUUCUUGGAUCGGAUCCUUGUUGCCCCUGCUGUAUGCGUGUGAUAAAAGUAAGUUUGUGGUACGAAAGAGGGGAGGCUCUGCUAAUAUAUGGCCGCGGAAGAAAUAAUCAAUCGUACCUGGAUCCACAGGGGGAGGAGUUCAGGAGUUCUAUGGAGUAUACGUCGGCGGAGUGACGGCAAGUAAAUACUGCUCCGCGGAACGGCAUGUGUCUGACAUUUUUUAGAAAUAGAUACAUCCGUUUUUGUCAAAUUUGAGACAAGAAUUAUAGGGUAAUAGAUAUUCACUCCGUUUCAUAAUUCUUGUCUCAAAUUUGCUAAAAAAUGAAUGUAUCUAUUACUAAAAACUGUCUAGAUACAUGUAAUAUUUCGACAAGAAUUAAGGAACGGAGGUAGUAUCAUGCUUAAGUGCCGGUACAUAUCAUAAACACUACUCGACUUAUGAUAAUAUAGUGGUGGAAAACAAGUUAAUCGGUAUGUGCCAUCUUUGCUUCUUCACCAAAUAAGUCGUUAUCUUCAACCCUCUUGCAGUCUUGCUUGUUCUUCACACCCAGAGCUUCCUUCCCAUCUUUACAAUACCUUCUCUCAGACCGGACGAGCCAAUGACCAUACAAUGCCAUGACAAGUGUAGAAACCCCAGUCAUCUCCACCGCAGCGUUCAGCCAUCUCCCUAUCCGGAUCCCUAGCCUACAGAUGGGAUUAUAGCAAUUCAUGUCAAAGAGGACACUAACUAAGGAAGAAAUUAACAGCUAGAGAGCAUUAACAUAAUUGUACCGACCAUUCAGGGUCAUCUGGCCUUGGCGUGAUUUGAACAGAAAGAUGGUUCAUCAACCGACUAUUACGGAAGCUCCUCUUUCUUCUGCUGGAUUUCGCUCAGUUUAAAAGUUUUCUCAGUAACUUGCUGUAUGAAUACACAAAGAAAAUUGCCAUCCCACAGAAUGAUGCAUACAUGGAUAUUUUGAGUAGCUAGCUAGGAAAGAUUUCUGCCAUGUUUCGGUUGACGCAAGGAAAAGGGUUGACGCACGGUUCAUCAUAUGAAAACUGCAGCAGCAAAUUAAACAUACGAGGUGUUGCUGCUUGUACAAGGCAUCCAACCGAGAUUUGUUUAGUAAAUCAACCAGGAAAGGUUGCCAGGCUGCUCAAAACUGCUACUUUGGGUAAAAAAUGUCGAUCUUGUUUCCAAUAGAACAGACCUAAUAAGUCGAUCAAAUUAACACAAACGGAAAGAGUUGGAUUGCAGCUAGAUCGAUCCUUGAUUCCAUGGCACGUAGAGAAAAUAACUAGCCGGGAAAAAAAGAUGGGAAAUUUUGGACCUCGGUACUGUAGAGCCUCGGCGAGAAGAGACCGCGUUACCCCUCGGGAACAGCAGGUGAGGCGACCGCCACCUGCGUUCGCUGGAGCACAGACCCACCAAGCCUCCUCGCCGCGUUCCGAAGAGCCAUCGAUCGUCGCCAGCAAAUAAUUAGGAGGAGUCCGUCACGAAUUCUCCACACUUUGCUCGAUCGCCAAGGGGAAAGAAUCGAAAGGUGAAAGCAUGAGAAAUUCUUCUUCCUUGGGUUAGGGUUUGUCCGCCUCCGCCGCCGCCUACAAACAGGAGGAAAUAGAGAGAGUGGUCCGGUGGUGGGGAGGGGUGAAUUUCGACAAAAUUGACCCAAGACCCAAAGAAAUUUGAAAUAUGAACUCCUGGCGAAACUAUUUCAUAAGCCUGACCCUUCCAUGUAGCGCCCGCAUACUAGGCGUUAGCCUUACACUAUAACGCCUUGUGAUCGGGCGUUAAACUUGUGCCAGCGUGGCGAUGCCGGAGACCCACGGCAAGCCACUAUAGCGCCUCGUCCACGGACGUUAUACGAGUACUUUAGCGUCUUGUCACCGGGCGCUAUACCCCCGUACCCUAAAGCGGCCGAACCGCUCGGGCCAGAGGCUCACGCACAGAAGGGUUCGGCCCUUUUCCUCUCCCGUAAGAACACAGCGGCGGCAGCGGUUCCUCCCCUGCAAAUCUCUCCCCUGAUUCGUCGAUUUCUCCGUGGAUUCCGUUCGCAUUUGCUCCCCCCAAGUAUUCUCCCCUGAUUCUCUCAGUUUGGUCCGCAUUUUGUCCGCUGAUUAGCUGUACAUUUAGAGUUCGAGGUUCUAUCCGGCCCUUUUCCUCUCCCGUAAGAACAUGACUCUAAUUCUGGAAAAGAAAUGUUCCGAUUUUGACCAGUAGUUACCACCUUGCCAUGUGUGUACUGUCUAGAAGAACAUAGUUAGUUGAAUUCAAGAUGGGUCAACUUUAUCGUCCUACCCAAUUUUUGUCCAUCUGUUUUGAGGACAUAAUAGUAUUUGAUGCUGACAUUGCUGUACCCUGUUUCUUGUUUUUUCUAUUAGAGAUGCCAGCCUGACCCUUAAUUUACUACACAAAAAUCAUUGUCGACAUAGGAAUGAGAAACUUAUGCAAAGGCCAAUGGAAGGGAAACUUUAAAUUAGUUUGAUCUAUUGUUUUAUGCAUUCCCAGACUCCCAGCUGCAGCCUCACUUUAAUGGUACUAAGCAACCUAUUCUCUCUUCACUUUGCUACUGUUGCAUGCAAUGUCAUAAUGCCAAUAUUUUUGAAAACAAAGCUAGGUUUUUUUGGAAUGUGGCCGGCUGGUAGUUGCUAGUUUUGUAUGAAGAAAAAACUUAUUGCUCAAAUACCUUGAUAUGUUAUACGAAGUUGUAUUGUUGGGGAUAACAAGACCUCAGAAAGUAUGCUCUUUUCCAUGCAUGUGGGAUGGCUGUUAUAAUCAAUUAUUUUGUGUUAAUUGUUAUAACUAUUUCUUAGGCAUGACUGGUUUGGUUUGUUCAUUCGAUGGUUGUCUUCAAUUCAUAAGAUGGAUUUGUAGAAAAGGCUUGCUUUGUUGCUAUAGUUCGGAGUACGGGUGUCAUUUCGUUUGUUAAUAUGUCUUAAUUGGAACAUGUAGGAUGGCGCUCCUAAUGGAUCACUACGACAUGGCUCACCGUGGGCAUUUGGUACGGGAUGAACAAAUGGUAAUGAGCAUUUACAUGUUGCUUCUUUUUGUCAUUGUUUUGUUCCAAACGUGUAAGUGAGACGAUCGUAACUUUAAUGGCUUUUGUACUUGUUUUGUAGGAUCUUGGAUCCCUCAAACUUAGGUCUCACGGUGCCUCCUCAGGCGCCAUGUCUUACGAUGAGCGGUACACACCGUUCAUCUUGAGGACAUGGCUCCUUCCGUUCAUCCAUAUGGUGACCCGGUCGACACCUUGGAUGAACGCUUGUGCAAUCACCGCGCUUGUCGACCAGUGGAGGCCUGAGACCCACACUUUUCACCUCCGGACCAGUGAGAUGACUGUGACUUUCAGGACAUGUCCAUGAUCCUGGCACUCCCCAUCGGCGGGAAACCAGUAUGUAUCAAUACGGCCUCUUCAGGAUGGCGCCAGCAGAUGGCGGAUCUUAUUCGUAGGGCACCGGAGGCCCCUGAGGACCCCGCUAACGACAGAGUGCCAGCGGGCGCAACGUACACUUGGAUCGUUGAGAACUUCUCCGAGUGUCCUGAGGAUGCUGCCAUCGAAGUGGUUGAGCAGGACGCACGAGCAUACGUGUGGUAUGUCAUCACACGCACUCUGUUUGCUGACGGGGGUGGCAGGACAGCUCAAUGGCAUUGGCUGAAAGCCUUGACCGUAUGGGACUAAAAUUGGAGCUGGGGCACAGCUGCACUUGCCUACCUUUAUCGGCAGGUAAUUAAUAUUUCAUUGUUGUUACUAUGUGCAAUGACCUGUGAUGACAUGCCUUAAUUUAUUUGUUGAUUACCUUUUGUUUUAGUUGGACGAUGCUUGUCGUGGGAGCAAACCAGACAGCAGCAUAGGUGGUCCAUUGCUUCUACUGUCUGUUUGGAGCUGGGAACGCUUCCCCGUUGGACGACCGGAAACGUUGGCAUUCAACGAUUGGGACGAUCACGAAGACCCGCUGCGGAGACCCACUUGGGCUUACAAGUGGGACCGUACGAGAGAUAACUGGAACGACACUAAACUUCUGUACAAGCAGUACACGAACGAGUUCGACACUUUAACCCCUGAGCAGGUAAAUAUUGUUAUUGCAGAAAAUUAUUAUGAUUUCAUUGCUCUAUGGUAACCGAACAUUGCGAUGCUUGUGAUAUGUUUAAGGUGGAAUGGCAGCCAUAUGGUAGUGGGGACGAUUUCGGUGUCCCAUUCGAUUAUGAGCUAAACCCGAAGUGCUUGGAAGAAAGACAUCUGUGGUUGAUGCGAUGUCCACUGAUAUGCAUGUGGGCGGUUGAACUUCAUCAACCACAUCAUGUGAUGCAACAGUUUGGGUUGUUGCAGACCAAUCCGCCAAAGUGGAAGGACACGAACAUACAGCUUCACGAGUAAGUUUUUGUUGUUCCCAUUAAGCUUUGCGGUGUUACCUUUUUGCCGCAAUAAUAUGGUGCCUUCCAAAUAUUUGUAGGCUUGAUAGGAAAAAACAGAAGAGCAAACAAAAUUGGCCUAAGGAACAUAGGGUGCAUGUGGACAAGUUCAAAAGGUGCUUGGCCAAGAUGGAGAAUGGUGAAGGAACCCCCCAACGGGUGGCAAAUCCUGAGGCAUUUAACAACUACCUGCGUUGGUAUCUUGAGAACACCAGAGCAGAGAUUUGCCGGCCCGCCUACAACCAUGAAAUUUUGGAAGAUGACAACCUAUUCGAUGAGGCAUCAAACGCGGAGUACAACAGGCUUGUAAAGGAUGGGAGGCAAACAUCAUAUGCUAAUGUCUUGCACUUUGUGGUAACGGUGUUAUGCUUCUCCAGUCUUUUGUGCUUUUUGAAUAUUCUAUUGUUACACAUUGUUUUCCUCAUUUCAGCGUGAUGAGAUCAGGAAGGACGCCGACAGAACCGAGAUAGUUCUCGAUGAAACUCCUCACGGGAAAAAGGGGAAGAGUACACUAAGGAAGUUUAUGAAGGUGCGUGCUUGGAUGUCUUGUAUUUGCAUAUAUGUGAACCGACAAAUCAAUUUUUCAUUUCUGAACAAUACAGUGGCAAGGCAAUAGGCUACGGCGGUUAGCCAACCUGAAUAGGAGGUUGCCGUGACCCCGAGAUGUCAUCGUCAGCACUGUCUAGUUCGUCUUCACCCACCGAUGCUGAUGAAGAUCUUCAAGAUGACUUGUCCAAUGAGGUUUGAAUUGUGCUUACAUUAAUGCAAUUGUCAUGUCAUGUUAAAUCCAUGACAAGGUUUGACGCAUUUGUCUUACGGGUAAUCGAAUGUAGGAAGGACCAGAUGUGGAAGACGACACCACCUUAGCUGAUUAUCAACGUUCAAUCCCUAAGCAGCAGCGUGGAAACAAGGGAAAGGGACCCCACAGAUUUACACCAUCGGAUUAUUUGACGAAAAACAAGAAGGUGGUCGUUCAUUCCGACAGUGAAGAUGAGGAAGCGGCAGAGGAAGCUAAUUUCAGCUCAUGUACAAGGAGACGGAUGAGGGGCAUCUCCGAAGAAGAGGAAGAAAGAGAGGAAGAGGAAGAGGUACAUGAAGAUGAUCAGGACGCGGAACCACCCCGACGGAGGAAGAAGUUGGCUACGAAGAGAGGGAGAGGGUCUAGGAAGUAGAUGUGUUUUUAGAUAACUGCAAUGCUUCUCGUAAAUGCUCUGUUUUGUGAACUAUGUCUGUUUUGCGAACUCUAUUUGGUGUGCUCUGAUGCUAGUUGAACCGUUAUAACUCUAUUUGUUGCUCUGGUGCUAGUUGUGUAUCUAUUUGGUGUGCUCUGGUGCAAUGCAAGAAUCACUUUUUCUGUUGAUGUAUGGCACAUUUUUGAUCCUGUAGUGUAUCUAUUUGGUGUCCAGAACUGAACUGAAGAGCUCAUUUUAUCUGUUAUGUUGGAAUUAAUAUGUAUAGCGUCUCAACACCAGGCGCUAACCCGGUAGGUGUAGCGCCUGGUGACAAGGCGUUAUGCUCUGACGUAGAGAAAUUUCGGCCACCGAAACGCUACUGGAACCUUCUGUUAUCUGGAAUUAAUAUGUAUAGCGCCUCAACAUCAGGCGCUAACCUGUUAAGUGUAGCGCCUGAUGACAAGGCAUUAUGCUCUGACUUCGAGAAAUUUCGGCCACCAAAACGCUACUGGAACCUUCUGUUAUCUGGAAUUAAUAUGUAUAGCGCCCUACCAUUAGGCGUUAAAUGACCACUUACAAAAAAUUCCAACAAUGUGCUGCUGUUUGAGUGCAACAGCAUGAUAUAAAUAACAUGGACCACAAUUAAAAUGUUCACACUUGGAAUCUAAAAUGUCCUGAAUCAAAUGGGGCAUCACAACUCAUAGUUCAAUACAGAUUACAAAUUCUAAUACGUAGUUCUCGACAUUAAAGUAAUGUUCACAUGAAGGUCAUCACACGGCAUUGCUGAACUAAACUGCUAAACAAGAGUGUAUUGGGUCGAACAAGGACCCUUUCCCUUCCUCUUCCUCUCCUUCAGCUCAGCUUCCUCCUCGAGUGCCGUUGCGCGACUAGCCUCACGAACCAGCUUCUCCUUCCAUUCCUUCUCCUCCCUCUCCCUCUUCUUGGCGGCUUCUUUCUCUGACCUUUCCCAUGACUCAAUUAAUUUCCUUACUUGUUCUUUCUUCCUAAGCUUAGCUUGUUGCUUCAACCAAAUUUCCCAGUUCCAACUGUACAUGUGCGCCUCAAAUCUCAUUCGAGAAUUCUCUUGAACUUCCUGAUUGUGCUUCAUAAUUCUUUCCAUCUCCCUCUCCCUUGCUUCCUGCUCUUUCACCUUCAUCUCAGCUGCCUUCCGCCACCCUGGCCUCUCACCCUUGUCCCCCUCCUCUUCAUCGUCCCACUUAGGUGGCGCCUUCGGAGGUUGAGUACCGGCCAUACCUACAAAAUGUGCAACGUAUAUGUUAGUUUUGGUAACGUAGCAUCAUAAUGUAUGUUACGGAAACAAAUAUGUAGUGGAAUAAAGAAAUUCUUACGGAAACAAAUAUAUAGUGGAAUAAAAAAAUUCUUGCGGAAACAAAUAUGUAGUGGAAUAAAAAAAUUCUUACGGAAAUGGUCCUGAUAGGUAUCCAAUCAUACCACCACCCCGGUUGACGCCUGGAGCUUGAAAUGUAUGUCUCCCUCGUGUCCCUCUUUGUUGGCUACGAGUACCUCGUUGGUGACCUCUCCCUCAGGUACUUCCUUGUUGGCUAGAACCAUCUCGUGUACUUCCUUGUUGGCUAGGACCUUGUUGGCUACCUAGUUUUGAAAAACCGGACCGGACCACGAACCGACGAGGCUGUCGAUUCCAGUUUUUUCGGUCGAACUGCCGGUUCACCGGUUGGACCGGUCCGGUUUUUUAAGAUAUAAAAUAAUAUAUAUUUAAUUAAAUACUGCAAAAAAAAUAGAAAAACAGCAGUCUCUCUCAUGACAAUAUGAAUAACAGUGCUGACAAUAAAUUUUAGUAAAAGAAAACAGGCACAUAUCCAACCACAUAUUCUCAAACUCUCAAGUCUCAACUCUCAAACAAUGACAGCAAGCAAGCAAGCAAUGUCUCAAUGUCUCAGCAACAGCAAGCACUCAAUGUCUCACACAAUGACAGCAAGCAACAAACAAUCAGGCACAUAGGCCAAUAGCUGAAUAAUUAAACUGAGACUGCAUUAAACAAAGCAACAAACUGAGACUUCAUGAAACAAAGCAACAAACUCGGCGAUAUUGGAAUUGGUAGGUUCAAUCUGUCACAUUCCCAACAUGAUCUUCAUCCUCAUCACGUCCAUCUCCAAUAUCUUGAUCUUGGACUCCACCACUUUGGUCUUCGUCAGCUGCUGGCAUGUUUGCUUCAUCAGUUUCUUGAGAAGCAUCAAUGUCAUAGUCUUCAUCAAUCCAUUGAGCCUCAUCUACACAUUUCUAUGUGCUAAAAAUCAGAACCAAUAGAGAAAAAAAAUCAGAAAUGAGAAGUUUAGCUAGAAGAGAAACAUUACCAUUCAUGGCCAUGGAAUUGCGUAUCUUUGUGUCAUCUGAUUUCAAAUUUUUCCGGUAUACACCAAUUUCUUCCCCAUUUAGCACUUAGGACCAUCUUCAAAAAUCCAAUCUUCGGCAAACUUGCCAAUGUCCUCCAAACAAAUAGGGUCAUAGUUUCUUGUAGAGAUUUGGGUAACACAUGGCAUGGAGGGAGAGGGAAGGUUGCAGCCAUUAAAAACAGCAAAUAAACGAGAACAAAUAAACAGAAAGUACUAGUAAAAUUACUUUUGUUGAAGCCUCGAAUUGCAUUGAACAUAAGCAAUAUCAUUCAUCCUUUGAUGCUCAAGUCUAUUUCUCUUUUUGGAAUGUAUAUGCUCAAACAAACUCCAAUUUCUUUCACAGCCCGAAGCACUACAAGUUUGGCUUAAGACUCGAAUAGCAAGCUUUUGCAAAUUUUUAUCAGUCCAACCAUCAGCCAUAAUACUGCAGCCACUCUCCUUCCAUGCUUUGCGGUAGCUCUCCGCAAACUUCUUUGUUUCUUCAACAUUCUUUGCUAGCAAAGGGCCGCGCAUUCUCCACAUACUUGGCCCUUUAUAACCAAUACCAACACCAGCAAUUGCGUUGAUCAUAGGUUGAUAGUAUCUAGAAGUAGUUGCAUUGAAAGGAAUAGAUGCAUCAAUAAACCAUUUGCUGAUAAUGAGAUCAACUCUGUCUAAUGCUUCUUGAGAUUAUAGCACACUCUUCAUUGUUUGUUGAUCACCUGGUUGGCCUCUAGAUAAAAAGAAUCGGUCUGCUGCACGGUUUGUUGUUGACAUGCUUGAGGCAGCAACAGCUUUGCCUUUUUUCGCUCGAGUGGAUCGUUGAGCAGCAGCAACUACUUGAGUUGAAUCUUCAGCCCCUUCAAUACUGGCUCUAACACGGGCUGCAUCUUCAUCGGCCUUCCUCUUCCUCCCUGCAAAAUCCUCCAUUGCUUCACAUUACCCUUUUCUCCAGCCAAAUGAAGCUUCAAUCAAUGAAUACCAUCACCUUUGAACAACUCGUUGCAGUACAUGCAGCGGAUCCACUUCUUCUUUGUUCCCUCAACAACAACUUCAACUUCCUGGGCGUGCCCCCAUGCCGGAUCAGUUUUCGCUCGCAGUCUUUGAGAUGCUUGUGUCUCUACCGCUGCCAAGGUGCCAUCAGUCACGGGCGUCUCGGACGAAUCCAUGAACCACUGUAGUACAAGAACAGAGAACAUGAAGUCUUGAAGAACAGAGAAGGAGGAGGGACCGAGGGAGAACCAAGGAGGAGGGAGAAAUUGAGAACUCCAUACCUUGAUGGACUGGCCGGAGUCGAGCCUCGGGCCGUCGGGCGUCUCUGGCUCCCUGCUGCUGGCGGAGAGGCGGGGCGGCGCUGGUCACUGGUGACGGAGAGGAGAUCCGGGCAACGCGUGUGGCGGAGAGCCGGAGAGGCGCGGGCGCGGGCGCGGGAAUCUGGAGCCUGGAGGGCAGGCGGCGCAGGGGCUUCCCGGCGGGCGGCCUGGCGGCGGGACGAGGGAGGGAGACGGGGGCAGAGUCUGAAUGAGGAAUUGAGGAGAGCCGAGAGGAGAAAACCCUAAAAAACGGUGUUUUUUUGGAAUGGCAAGUGAACCGGGCGGUUCGAGCCAAACCGCCCGGUUUUGUCCGGUCCGCUUGGCCGUCCGGUCCAAUGCGCUAAACAGACCGCGGAGGGCUGCGGUUCCGGUUUAUUCCGGUUGGACCGCCGGUCCGGUCCAUUUUUCAAAACUAUGGUUGGCUAGAACCAUCUCGUGUACUUUCUUUUUGGCUAACCCCUUGUUGGCUUGGAGCUUGCUGGGCACUACCUUGUUGUUUGCCACCAUGUUGGCUUAUGCUUGCCGCAUUCCCCUUUGAUCUUUUUCUAGAUUCCUGGCUGCUGCAACCUCUAGUGUUGUGUCCCUCCACGUUGCAAUCUCCACACCUUGAUCUUUCAGAAGGCUCCUCGAAUAUAUUGUUGCCCAUUUCUCGGCGGCCGCCACCACCCCAUCCUUCCAUGUCACCCCUAAGAUGCUUGGUUUUCCGUCUACCCUGUGAAACCACCUUCAACUCUAGAUCGGGCCACAUCUGAAUUCCAUGAUACUCAAGCCACCGCGAUUGGUCAAAGUACGAGUGAAAUCUAGGAUCCCUUGUCUUCCUCGUUGUCUCGAUCGAGUACUCGGACUCCCUCACGGUCAGCGGAUUGUUAACAUUCACAUUUCUAAGUCGUGCCGCCGCCCGCAAAUGUGAGCACGCGAGAUGCAGCAACGAUGGUCUCAUGCACGAGCACUCAGAUUUAACGAGACCUCGAAACUCCUGCCUCCAUGUUGCACACCAUCGCUUGUGCUGCCUCCAGGCUCGUUUACUUGGUAAAUCAUUUGAUCGUUGUCAAAGCAUACAAGCUUUAAAGUGUGCGCCUUCCGUGACUGAUAUGUCAACCAAUGAUCAACCUUAGGUGGGUAUUCGUAAGGCCUAUUACGCUUCUUCCACGUACCUAGAAUCUGCUUGGCGUUUUCGUCUGAACAUUUCAGAAAGUACUCAUCAGCUUAUCGAAAGUGUAUUGAGCAAUUGCCGUAACGGGCAAUGCACGGACCCCCUUCAGCACAUUAUUGAAGCAUUCCGCCAUGUUACUUGUCAUUUGACCGUACCUGCGACCCCCUUCAUCAAAAGCGCGUGCCCACUUCAACCUAUCACCGAGGUGCCUAAUCAGGAAUUCAUGCCCCCCUGCGCUAAGGUCCGUGAAGCGAGCAAUGUGUUUAUCAAGUUUGUGAAACGCCGAUCGGAGUAAGCCUUGCAAGAUUCUUGAAGAAGGUCUGUCAGUUCCUUGUUCCUACAUGCUAUAAAGAAGUUGGCACAAAAAUGCCGCAUGCACCAUCGAUGGUGCAAUCGAGCACGGCCAGGAAUGUCAACCUCCACCGCGUUCAAAAUUCUUUGAUGGUGAUCUGAUAUGACACAUACUUCCCUUUGCGGCGGUAUAACUUUCGAUCUAAGAAGACCCAUGAACCAUGCCCAAUUAUCGUUGUUCUCUGCUGAAACCAAUGCAAAAGCCAAAGGCAACAACCGGUUGUUCGCAUCACAACUUAUUGCGACCAACUGUGCCCUUGAAUUGGCCGGUCAAGAAGGUGCCAUCGACGGAUAUCACCGGCCUGCAGUGCUGGAAAGUCUGUAUGCAUUGUUCAAAAGCCCAGAAAGCACGGCCAAAAAUCCGCACGGUUGCACCUUUGUAAGUCCUUGUUUGUUGGCCAAAAGGCUCGACCACAUAAACCAUGCCCGGGUUUGUAUGCGCCAUAGCACCCAACAACCUUGGGAGACGGUUGUAGGCUUCCUCCCGGUCACCAUACAACAUCUUGAAUGCGGCUUGCUUCACCUUCCAUGCCUUCCCAUACUUCACCCAGUAAUGGAACAGAGUAUAGAUAAGCUCCAUGACCGACUUAAUGGGCAUUACUGGAAGUGACAAGAUGGAAUCAGAAAGCCUAUAAGCGAUGAAUUCUGAGGUCAACUGUCUAUGAUUGUUCUUGACCGCAGGGUCAUCUAUGUUCUUGCCAUCGCACAAGUUGCACAACAACUCACGAUGUACCAUUCGGACCCUAAUUUACGUGGCCUUGCACGGACAAUCCAUGGACAAUGAUCUUCGGUACACUUAAUCGUGUAUCUAAUCUUGUUGUUAGAGUGGACAACCUUGUACGGUCGAUGGUGCUUGACCGAGAACUCCUUUAUCCACAUCUUAAAUUCCAAAAAUGUUCGGAACCUCAAUCCAGCCUUAAUGCCAUACCGUCUUUGUGUCACAUCCCGAUGGAAACUUGGCCUAGGUCCAAGCACGAACCCUUCGCCACCGUCAACCACGGCCUGAUUCGCCAGGCUAACAUCACAGAACAAUGGUAUACUUGGAUCCCGGCUAGUUACAACCUUGAAAGCGUUAGCUUCUUUGGCUGUCAACCCAUCCUCAUCAACUUCUUCCUCCGGACCAUCGUCAUCCGAAUCCGAUGCAAAUACUCGGUUAAAUGGGAUUUCACGGUAUGCCUCCAAAUCAUCUACAUUAUUGUCAUGCAUAUCAUCGUUCUCCUCUAGCCACAGUUCAGGUUGUUCGUCUGUCAUCAAGCUCGAUGGUUGCGCCUCUUCAUGUUGGGUCUCUUCAGGUUGAGGCCGACUCAUUGUAGUCUUGCCAACAUUGGCCUCAACAUUUGGCUCAGUUCGGACAGGACUUCUUGCGCAAGAAGGGGAAGCCGCACUACGGUUCAGGUCAAUGUGAAAAUCUGGAACAACCUUUCUUGUAGCAAAUAUAUCUAGAGCUUUGUCUUGUGAUUGGCCCACCGUCUCUUUGUAUGCCUCCCAACGUUGCUCGGAAGAUAUGUGCAUUGUCUUCCAACGGAGGUGCACUCCAUACCCAACAUUGUGUCUUCCCACCAACUCUACCACAUCGCUUGGGUCCAUCCAUUUCAACUCAAGCCUCACUUCCUCCAAUAGCUCGGCAUAGGUUGGACUAAAAUCGAACACCCAGUCUCGCUCCUCCGUGUCCGCCUUUACAUUGCCUCCCAAAAAUGCCUCUUUGUCCACGUGAUGAACAUGAACAAUUCUUGCCAUCUAGAAUAUAAUUAGAAUGGAAAACAUCCAUCAACAUCCCUGAGAUUAACUAAUAUCCAACAAGAAAGUGCUACGUAUCCAAAUACUAGACACCCUAAAUACCAUCCCAAAAUUGGGACCAAACUGAGGGGAUCGGAGGAGAAUACCUAAACUAGGGUUUGCCCCAAAUCCCAUAAGAUAUCCCUAAAUGUACAGCUAAUCAGCGGACAAAAUGCAUGCGGACCAAACUGAGGGGAUCGGAGGAGAAUACCUGGGGGGAGCAAAUGCGAACGGAAUCCACGGAGAAAUCGACGAAUCGGGGGAGAGAUUUGCAGAGGAGGAACCGCCGCCGCCGCCGUGUUCUUACAGGAGAGGAAAAGGGCCGAACCCUUCUGUGCGUGAGCCUCUGGCCCCAGCGGUUCGGCCGCUUUAGGUUACGGGGGUAUAGCGCCCGGUGACAAGACGCUAAAGUACUCGUAUAGCGCCCGUGGACGAGGCGCUAUAGUGGCUUGCCGUGGGUCCCCGGCAUCGCCACGCUGGCACCGGUUUAACGCCCGGUCACAAGGAGUUAUAGUGUAAGGCCAACGCCAAGUAUGCGGACGCUACACGGAAGGGUCAGGCUUGUGAAAUAGUUUCGCUAGGAGUCCAUAUUUCAAAUUUCUUUGGGUUUUGGGUCAAUUUUGACGAAAUUGAGUGGGGAGGGCGUCGCGUUCUUUCUUCUGCUUUCUAGAACCUGCGCGACGCUAACUUAUAGGCCCGCGAGCAGGCACAGCCCAACAACUAUUCUUCCCACGCCCGAAUGUUCAACAGCCGGCCCACGGAGUGGCGGCCCAAAUCGUCGUGCCUUGUUACAAAACUUCUUCGCUCAAAAAAACCUUUUGUUUUCUUUUCGGAUUCGAUGUAGAUUGAUGGUUUCUUUUCUUUUCUUGUGUCCACGGGAGUCCUUCUAGGGUACACUCGAUGUCUCUGCAGUUUUUUUUUCAAUCCAUAUAUAUUGUAUAAAAGAGUCCAUUUAGAGUUCAAUUCCAGUUAUCCCCAACAAGUAAUCCUUGAUACAUUAUCAAUUACAGAUUUACAAUUGUUUGACACGAAAAGUACUUAAAAAAUAUCUCUCAUGCGCCGAGAAAAAUAAAUGUACGGGUGUGCCAGUGUACCUAAAUAUACAAAUAAAAAUAUAGGGAAAUAUGUAUUUUAUUAAUCUUGCAAAGAUAAACAAAUUACAAGAUCCCUUUAUGAAGUGCGCUCGGUGGCCUGCUAGCUUGGCCAAUAUGACAUAGGCGAAUGUGGUGUCUUGGUUCACGGGGCCUCGUAAAGCUCCCGAUUAAUUACUCGAUCCCGCAGGUUAGACCGCGAGACACCUCCGAUUAAGCUGGUGUAAUGGUCGUCCUCUUCUCCAUCUGCUUGGUAUAGACGGUUUUGAUGUAGAAACGGUGGAGCAGUUUGAAGCAGUCGCAAUUGCAAUCAAAUCCUUUCAAAUUGAACAGACGUCACCCCAAUCAACAAAAGUCUGCUCAAAUAGAAAUCGCAAAGAUGAAACCUAAUUAAUGCUGCCGGAGUCCUCCGACGUCUGGAGUUCGGUGGCCACUAGCUGCUACGAUUAAACCAAGGGCUGGAGAGCAAAACAUGCAUGCAAUAACCCCUGCCAACCAUGCGUGCAAUUUCCUUAAACACACAAGCUAGCUAGAUACAUAGCACACCACCAUUGCCCAUUAAUUAAUUGUCCACAAGGAUACACAUCAUGCAGCAGCAAUGCAGUAGAGUUACAGUUAAUACGGAUCACAAGUCGUCCAAAUAGCACACAGUACUAACUUGUGCUGAAGUUGUCGCGUAGAUAUCAUAAACAGUUGUUGACUUAUAUGAUAAUAAAUAGUGCUGGAAUUAAAACAAGUUGAGAUACGCGCCAUCUUUGGUCCUCCGUCAGAUGAGACCAUUUCCAACGGGGCUGGGCAUUCGGUUAUAACCGAAAUUUCGGUUCGGUUGUUCGGUGAUUAGCAAAUUUCGGUUUUUCAAAAAUGGAAACCGAAGUUCGCCGUAGGAAACAGAAGACCGAGAUUUCGGUUUCCCAAAAUUUCGGCUCGGUUCUCGGUUUUGAACCGAAGAGACCGAGAAAACAAAAAAACACAGCAGCUCGCCGCCUUGUCGCAGGAGAAGACGAGGCUGAGGAGGGACAGGAGGCUGCACCACUGAAGCCUCUAGGCGAGAUAGAAGGCGGUGAAUCCCACCGGCCACCGCUGCUGUCCACCGGGGUGGAGAGCAGUCGAUCUGAAAGACUGAAAAGGUAGCACGGCGGCACAGGAUGGAGGCAGAGGAUGGCGGCUAGGGUUGGCGUCGCGCGUGUGUAGUUGAGUCCCUGGGAAAUCAACCGAUUGCGUUGGAGUAGAGAGCAUCUCGAGGGAUUAGUAUUGAUCGGUCAGUUCGGUUGCUACUGUGCUACAUGGGCUGGGCUGGAAUUUGUUGGGCUUUAUUAGUAUUGAUCGGUCACUUCGGUUUCCUCGGUUAACCGAGGCCAGUGACCGAAUUGACCGAGAAAAGUUCGGUUAUUCAGAAUCUAAAACUGACUUUCAAACGGUUUUUUGGUUUCGGCUUCUUCGGUUUCGGUUUUCGGUUUUUUGAAUAUCGGUUUCGGUUUCUCGGUUGCCCACCCCUACUUCAACCCUCUAGCUUGUUCUUCACACGCCGAGCUUCCUUCCUUGCCUGUCUAGCAGAUUGUCGCAAAUGACCAGUAAAUGCGAGGCCAAGUGCAAAACACCGGACACGACCACCACAUCAGUCAUCCAUUUCUUUAUUCGUAACAGAUGCCUACAGAUGUGAUUGUAACAACUCAUUUGAAAGAGAAAACUACCUAAUUAAGGAAGAAACAGCUAGCCAGAGAAUUGUACCGACCAUUUAGGGUCGCCGGUUCUUGGUUUGACUUGCACAGAAAGAUGGCGGAUCAACCGAUUGUUUUGGAAAGUGCGCUUCUCCGCCUUAGAUAUCAUAUUGUACAGCUCCUCUUUCUUCUGCUGGAUUUUGCUCUGUGUAACAAGUUUUGCAGGAGAAUGCACAAAGAUAAUUGAUCGAGUUUAUAUAUAUUCUUAAUUAGCAAGGAUAUAUAUAGAGAAAAAUGAAGAAGAAAAUUGUCAUCCAACAGAAUCAUGCAUAAAUAGAUAUUUUGACUAGGUAGCUAGGAAAGAUUUCUGCCAUGUUUCGGUUGUGCUAAUAUUUUGCAGGCGUGUGUGCAAAUUGAAUAAAUUAUUUAGUAUCAUCAAGUGCGGCAAGGAAAAGCACGUUUCAGCAUAUGAAAACUGCAGCAGCUAGCAAAUUAAACAUACGAGGUGUUGGUAUUUGUACACCGAUAUUUGUUUUGUAAAUCAACCAGCAAAGGUAGCCAGGGUGCUCAAAACUGCUUGCUACUUUGGGUUUAACAAGUCGAUGAAAUUAACGUACACAUGCAGCUUGUUGUUUCGAACGGAAAGAGUUGGAUUGCAGCUAGCUAGAUCGAUUCCAUGAGAUAUUUGCACGUAGCUAGGGAAAAUAACUAGCCGGAAAAAAACAGAGGGGGAAAUUUUGACCUCGGUAUUGUAGAGCCUCCUCUGCAAGAAGAGACCGCGUUGGCACAGGCCCUGAUCGGGAACAGCAGGUCGCUGGAGCACAGAGCCACCAAGCCUCCGAAGAGCCGCCAUCGAUGAUCGUCGCCUGCAAAUAAUCAGGAGGAGUCCGUCACGAAUCUCACCGGCCACAGCCGCUCCUCCUCCACAGUUUGCUUAGGUUAGGGUUCCUCUGCCUCCGCCUCCGCCUGCAAACAGCCUGCGCAACGCUAACUUAUAGGCCCGCCCGUUCAAAAGCCGGCCCAAAAACUUUUCGCCGAAUCUCAUUUGUGCCUGCGCGCACGCGCGAGCACCAUCCGAUCAAAUCGCACGGUUGCUUUUCUCCCCGAAACGUUUUCUCCUCCCGACCUAUCCCGCGUCCGUUUUUUUCCCAUCAUCUGUUUACUUCGUCUUAUCUCUUUCUCCUGUUUUCUCUCCACCGCAGCCGCACACCACUCAGUCCUCCCCCACGCCGCCACCUUCCUCCUCCGCGUCAGGCCACUGCCGCCACCUUCCUCCUCCACGUGAGCCUCCGCCACCACCUCCCUACUCCGCGUGAGCCGCCGCCUCCCCCUCCCUCCACGAACCGAGGCUGGGCCUCGGUGCCAGGCCGUCGCCGCCGCCUCCCUCCUCCGCGUGAGCUACGGCCGCCUCUCUCCGCGAAUCAAGGCUGCCUCCCACCUCUGGGUGAGCCGCGGCUGCCUCCCUUCAUGACCGAGGCCGCCGCUCCCCUCUGCAAGAUCCGCCAUCGUCGUCGACCCUGCGGCAGCGGCAAGAAGCUGUUGGAUUGCCUGCAAGGUGGCCGAGUGCUGCUGCGCUGGCGGGGAUGGCAUCUGGAACAACCUGGUGUUGUUGUUCUGGUGGAAGUGAUGUGCAGGGAGGAGGUGGACAUGCAGAUGGUGCGGGUUGCCACAUAGCGUGGCUGGGAUGAGGUGGUUGUGUUUGCUCUCGUACGUGUUGAUCACCCCUUGGUAUGACCUUUCAACCUGCUUCUUCACCUGGUACUUCUAGGGUAAGCACCGGCAGUAGCUCCUAUAAUGCAUACAUUUCUAUCAUCCCAUUGCAGAAGAGUUGGAUCCCAUUAUUGUUAGAAGUAACUUCAAUUUUGAAUGUUACAUUUGAGUGAGUUAGAUGUAAAUUUCAGGUUAGGAGUUACUUUACGAUUCUGCUAAAUGUAGUUUCAACAUGUCAGUCACUUUCAUGAGUUUGGUAGAUGUAGUUUAAAUGUUAAGAGUUACUUUCCUGAUUUAUUAGAUGUAAUUCUGAUGUUAAAAGUUACAUCUACAUGUGAGCUUGGAGAAAGUAAAUUUUGUUAGAUAUGUGGAGUUUCUCAUAGAACAAAAAAAGAGGGAGAUCUGAUAAAGCAGAGGAGGUGUGGCAUGUUACCUGCUAUUUGGGGACCACACAUGGCAGGUUAGGACAUGGACGAUAGGAUGCAGUUUUACCUUAUAUAGUUGUAUAUAUGUUCUACAUGAGUUUUAUAUACCGGAUGUAGUCUUUGUCAUACCAGGAUGUAGUUUUACCUUUGCUUUGCAGUAACAUUGUUUUGAAAUAGACAUGAUGUAACUAAUGCAGUGGAUACUGAACCAAGCCAUAUUGUUGUUGAUGGCCAGAUUAACAAGCCAAAUGAAGUUUGGAUGAUCUAGUUUUGGCUGAUUGCUAGACAAAACUCUUUUGUUUUAUACGCGAAAUUAUUUCACAUCUAUCAAUCCUUAUAGCAAUUUGAAUUUGUGUUGAUACUGUUUGUCUUCAUCAUUUCAGCAAAAUGUCAGAUAAUUGGAAAGAGUUUUGGUUUUGGAGCUGAGUUUGGCGUAAUUUUUUGUUAUGCAGGCAUCGAAGAUGUCAAUUAUGCUCUUGCCAACUGUAUGUGAUGCUAAGUGGGGAUGUAAGUUGUCUACCUGUUUCGGUGGAUUUAUUUUCCUCAUUUGCACAUUUGAUACACUCUGUAUGGAGGAUAACUUGUGUACUUCUCUCCAUGUAUUUCGUUUGUUACUUAGCUUUUAAGUGAAUUGUUCCUUAGAAAUGAAUUUGUGACAGACCUGUGUACCCAAAUAAUUGGGAUGUACUUUUUUCCGUUGUUUUCGGGUGGACGUAUUUCCUAAAGGGAGUAUCUAUUAUUCGGAAUUCUUGCUAGAUGUAAUUAUGCGGGGAUGAUGCGUGGUAUGCAGGAGCGUCGCCUGCAGCCAGAGACGUACAGUGAAUGUCAAGGAAAAAAAAGGUGGGGCAGUCUGCGGAAGGGUGGGAAUUAAUUACGACGGCAAGAGAAAACGCGUUCGGCCCACGCACUGAAGGGGUUUCUUAACGAAUAAAGCACGUGCAUGUGGCCUUGUCGGAAGGCACCCUGUAAGACUACACAGUGCGCGCGCACUGUGUAGCCGCCCCUAAAACUUUUUGUUUUGUUUUUCGGAUUCCAUGUUUGCCCCUCUGUGCACAAGAGGUAAAGACCUACCUCUUCCUUUCGAUCGAUUACACUGGGCGGGGAGGUAGUGGUAUUCUUCGUCGGCGAGGUUCGGUUCAUAGAAUAGUUGAGCCGAGCGAUGGCAUGGUAAGCGGCUGCUUGGAUGGAGGAAUCUUAGAUGAUGCCGAGGGAGCUGAAAAUCCAUUGCCUCUGGUGGUCGUUGGUGAUGGCACGGAUGCGGACGGUUGUCGAAUAUUCCCUCCGAUCCAUAAUAAUUGUCUCAGACACUUAUUAAUGGUCGGGCCAAAAGCUGCACUCAGGUGUCACCGGUGUGACGAACAACACUCCAACCGGAGUCUCCAUGUAUUGACCAAAAGGAAGGGGUAAGUGUACAUCACUAAGCAAAUUAUAUACUGAAAAUGAUGCACACAACCUCAACCAUGUUGGCGUCUGUUCCUCUCCCGCGACCCUCGGAUGGCGAUCUUCGAUCCCCAACCACAAUCUAGUACAGAUCGACCUUUGAAACCCGAAUCCCCUUGAAACCAAGCCCUGAAUCCCCUCUGCACAGCCCCCCCCCCCCCCAUCCAAUCCAAGGCUUCAAUGCCGAGCGUUGUGCCCAGUCCAACAAAAUCUCCACAAACACCAGAAACCUAAAUCUCCACCUCCUAUUCCUGAGAUUCCGUCUAAAUCUCUUGAGAAAUUCCCUUUCUCAGGCGUUCAAUGGCAUUUACAAGGAUCCACCCGACCCGAGCCCUACAAACCAUUCAAAAUCCUAUCCUAAUGGCGAGUUUAUACCUCGUCUUGAAGAAAGGGAGGUUUCCUUGCCCACGUUCCCCACCUUUGAGAAGCAAUUGCAAGUGGUAUCGCCUCCCUUUACUGGAAGUAAUUUGGGACAACACGUCGCCAGAGUCGGUUCCAGUGGGAGUCCUUUUAAGGGAGAAUUUCCCACCCGGAUAAUCUCAUUCUCCCUCCGGCGUGCUCUGGAAUUCCCCGCAAGUUCCAAGUCUGCUUAGCUUCACCUCAUGGCAGCACUAGGGACCCAUGACGCCACCGUUCAUCGGAAGGCCACCGGCCCGGAGACCGCUGAGACCCUGUUCCACAGGAGGAAUGGGAAAGCGAUAGCAGAACCCAGUGGCACGAAGAAAGUUCUUGUCGACAUGACAGGAGCACGCAAGGUGGUGGGUACUCGCUUCUUCGCCGUGGGCCUGUUCCUGUCUGUGCUGCUGGUGAGCUCACGGCAACUCAUCGACCACAUGAAAAGGGUCUGGAUUGUUCUUCAACGACAGAAUGAGAGUCUGUUGAUUAAGCAACUGCACAAGUUUUACAACCAUGUUCAUACUCCUUGGGUUGAUCUCAUUUGGGCUUCAUACUAUCAUGGGGUUGUUCCACAUGCCACGCAGCUUUGUGGUUCGUUCUGGUGGAAGGAUAUUAUGAAACUCUCUGACCAUUUCCUAAAUAUUACUUCUGUCUUAAUUGGUUCGGGUAACUCUGCUUUAUUUUGGUCUGAUAAAUGGAAUGGUCGCCUUCUUAAGGAGGCCUGGCCUCACCUCUUUUCAUUUGCUGUUGACGGAUUUUUAUCAGUGGAGGAUGUGGUCCAAACUGUGGAUGUUCAUCAGCUUUUCAAGCUCCCUCUGUCGCAGCAGGCGUUUGCAGAGUUGGGUGAGUUGAUUGAUCUUCGGCAGUCUCUUCAGCUCACUGAUCUUCCUGAUCGUUGGGAGUUCUCUUGGGGAGCUAACUUUUCUUCUAGCAAAUUCUAUGCUAUGGGUUUUCAACACCUUCUCGUGCCCAAGGUUUUCUCUUGGCUGUGGCGAUCUCGGUGCACUCCCCGAGUCAAAGUCUUUGCGUGGCUUCUGCUAGUCGAUCGCCUAAAUACUCGUGACAUGCUCCGUAGACGGCACCGGAAUACCGGGGAUGAUACUCACUGUGUGCUUUGUCAGUUACGUGUGUGGAGGACUGGCAACACCUAUUUUUCUCCUGUGUUUUCAGCCGGAGGAUUUGGGCUUUCUUACAAAUUGACUGGUGUUCGGGGCCGUCUGUGGAUGCUGUGGUGCAAAGGAUGGCAAAAUCCUUGGUCAUCCUUUCCUGAUAGAAGUUGCUGCUUUUGCUUGUUGGCACAUUUGGAAGCGACGCAAUGGAUUGAUUUUCACUGGAGAAACCCCUUCUUUCCGGUCUUGGCGUGCGGCUUUUGUGCAUGAUCUUUCACUUCUGAAACAUAGGUUUAAGCCAGGUCUAGUGCCUAGGUUUACUGCUUGGUUAGAUUCCCUGUUGUAUGAUAAUUGUAAUAGGUAAUUAGGCAAGUUCCCUCUUGUUUUUUGCUCUUUUGUAUAGCUGGUGUUGGUUGGUUUAAUAAAUCAUUGUAGGGGUUUUCCCUUAUAGUUUUCACUAAAAAAAAAAGGGUCUGGAAAAUCUGUGGCCAGAUGGAAGAAAGCGAGCUGAAGUUGAAGGAAGGAAGGAAGUUCAUCCUCGAAUUCUCGUUGGAGGGUGACCAUAAACACAUGCUCAAUGGCGGCCCGUGGCAGUACAAAGGUGACGUCUUCCUGGUGAUGCCCCUGGAGUCGGGAGUUGAUCCCAACUCUGUACUGUUUCCCCAUGUGCCGAUGUGGGUUCAGUUCAGAGGCAUCCCCUUCUACCUCCUGACCAAGAAGCUCGCCUGUGACCUGGGGGAGACCAUGGGCGAGUUGUUGAAGAUCGACAACAAUGCCAGAGGAAGCAUUUGCGACAAGUUCAUCAGAGCAAGGGUGCUACUGCCACUCUACAACGCCCUCCAGAAGGAGAUCACUUUGUGCGAUAAAAUCUCGGGAGAACAAGUGGAGGCCCAAAUAAGGUAUGAGAGGCUUCCUAAUUUCUGCCUCACUUGUGGCUUCAUAGGGCACAUGGAGGCGCGGUGCGACCUGCCAGCGGGGGGAAAGAAGAUCAAUUUCGGCUUCGAACUCGGCGUCCCAGUAGUCCACUUCGACGACCCCCGCACUUGGUUCCAGCCGGAGUCCAUGGGGGAGGCUCAUCAACCAACUCCCCCACCGGUCUGACGUGCCCCGAAGCCGGCGGCCAUCGCAGCAGGGGAGAUGGCCGCCUCAACACCCCCCCACCAACUUAGUGCUGCAAAAUGUGGCAAGUUUGACGGUUGCAGAUGGUGACAAGAUUGACAGCGUCGACCCGCUGCCCGUGGUGCCAACCGACAACGAGGGCGCUAAUGCGGGGGACAAGGAGCAGGUGGCGGCCUUUCUUAACACCCCUAACACCGACGCUAUGGUGGAAGGGACUCAAGACCAGACUCCUGAGGAAACGUCAUCAGCUAUAGGCUCCUCCAACCUGAUGAAACCCAAAGGCUGGAAGCGCAAAGAACGUAAGAAGAAGAAGGUUCAGAAUGAGGCCGACUCCCGUCUGCCUCCGACGCCAACGGCCAAAAUAUCUGCUGGGACCGUGCGGCCUCGCAUGAACAUUGAAGGCGACGAUGUGGAGCUGGAACCGGCAGCAAAAAAAAGCACCCACGGGAUGCCCACACUCUCCGAGUGCCUGGGAAAUGAGGGGCUCCACAGGCUCCACGCAGCAGAAGGAAAAGGUUCUGAAAUGGAAGGUAAUGACGCCAUCUCUUCAGGGGACAGAGACAAGAAGGAGGACCGAAACACCAAGGCAGGCAUAGGUGGUAUGGCAGCGACCGGUCAUGGGGCUACCGGCACUUUGUCGGGCGCUAGCAUGAGCGCCCGACAGGAGCCAUGAAGACCCUGGCAUGGAACUGUCGAGGCUUGGGGCAGCCUCACACAGUUCAAGAACUCGUCCUCCUAGUGCGGACACAUUGCCCCAAGUUGGUGUUCAUCUCCGAAACAAGACAACACAAGAAGUUGGUCGAGAACUUUGGUUAAGGUUCGGUUUAAGGCAUUGUUUUCCUGUUAGUGUUAAUGGCAAAGGGGGUGGGUUAGCUCUUUUCUGGGAUGAGAGUGUCCAGGUUGAUUUGUUAAAUUAUAGCAACCACUACAUCGAUGUAACAGUGUCUGAAUCACCUGAAAUAAAAUGGAGAUGCACCUUUGUUUAUGGGGAACCACGUACACACCUCCGACACCAUAUGUGGUAACUUUUGAGGAGAAUUAAACCCAUCCGAAAACUGAACCUUGGAUGGUCGUUGGUGAUUUUAACGAAGCUAUGUGGCAAGACAAACACUUCUCAAGAAGACGUAGAGGUGAGAAGCAGAUGACUUCAGAGAGGUGCUUUUCAAGUGCAAUCUCCAUGACUUGGGCUUUGUUGGUACUGCUUGGACCUAUGACAACAAACAAAAUGGGGAUAAAAACAUCCGGGUCAGACUUGAUCGAGCAGUGGCAACUCCGGACAGGUCAGCCUUGUUCCUGGACUGCAAAGUAACACACCUUGUGCCCCCCAGGUCUGAUCACUGUCCUAUCCUUGUUGAGCUCACGAAGCCGGCUGCUGUUUCCUGGCGUCCAGCCGUCAAAAGAUACGAAAGCUACUGGGAGAGAGAAAGUCAACUUGCUAAAGUUGUGGAUACGGCCUGGAAAGUGCACCACACUAGUGGCGAUCUUGGUGAUGUAUCGUCAAGCCUGUGUGGAGUUACGAACCAUCUCCACAAGUGGAGCAGUGCCACCAUUGGUGCCAUUAGGAGGAGCAUUGAAAAGAAAAGAGAACAUAUGAAGAUGCUUUCGAACCGGUCUGAUGCAGCCAGCAGGAAACUCUACAAGACCUUGUCUGUAGAAAUUGAUGAACUUUUGGAGAAAGAUGAGAUGAAGUGGCACCAACGGUCUCGAAUGGAUUGGAUCCGUUCAGGAGACCGGAAUACCCCGUUCUUUCACCACAAGGCUUCGUGGAGAGCAAAGAAAAAUUCAGUUACCAAAAUCGAGCGUGAUGACGGCACUGUCACUGAAGAUCUGACUGAAAUUGAGUCCUUGACAACGGAGUAUUUCAGUAAACUGUUCACCAAGGAUGACCAUGUGCAGCCUACUGACCUGAUAGAGUGCAUCACUCCGAAGAUCGACGAUGCCAUCAAUAGCGUGCUGUGCAGAUAGUUCGGUGAAAAGGAAAUCGGUGAUGCUCUCUUCCAAAUUGGUCCUCUUAAAGCACUGGGCCCGGAUGGUUUCCCGGCACGCUUCUUCCAGCGCCACUGGGGCACAGUCAAAAAUGAUAUUGUGAAUGUUGUGAAGAAAUUCUUUGCCACCAGGGUUAUGCCCGAAGGAGUGAACAACACGGUCAUCGUCCUUAUUCCCAAAACAAAAAACCCCAUCAGUUUGAAGGACUUUCGCCCUAUAAGCCUCUGCAAUGUAAUCUACAAAGUGGUGGCAAAAUGCUCGGUCAACCGGCUAGGCGAAUACCUGGAUAAGCUUAUUUCUAGGGCUCAAAGUGCCUUCAUCCCAGGUAGAAUAAUCACCGAUAAUGCCAUCGUGGCUUUUCAGUGCUUUCACGCCUUGCAACAUAGCAAAAAUAGUGGAAAAUUUCGUGCUUACAAGCUUGAUCUUGCGAAAGCCUAUGACCGAGUUGAUUGGGGCUACCUCAAGGAAGCCCUCAAGAAGUUUGGUUUCCAUCACACAUGGAUCUCUUGGAUCAUGACAUGUGUCAAAUCUGUCCGUUAUGCUGUUAAGAUGAAUGGUCACGUUCUCGAGAGCUUCCAACCUUCCAGAGGCCUCAGUCAAGGUGACCCUCUCUCCCCAUUUUUAUUCUUGUUCGUUGUUGAUGGCCUCUCAAGCUUGAUCACCAGAGAAAUCGAGGCAGCCUCCCUACAUGAUCUGAAGAUCGUCCGCAAUGGGCCGCGUGUGUCGCAUCUCCUCUUUGCAGACGACAGGCUCCUGUUUUUCCAAGUGAAUGCCGAUCAAGCUCAGGUGAUAAAAAAUAUUCUGGAACAAUAUGAAAAGUGUACUGGGCAGCUCCUCAGCCCGGGGAAAUGCUCCCUGCUUCUUGGUAAAGCCUGCUCGCAGCAAGAUGGAGCAGCAGUGAAAGCUAUUUUAAAUGUGACUAAUAUUGCCUUUGAUGAGAAAUAUUUUGGCCUUCCUGUCCCAGAGGGUUGCAUGAAAAAUGGCAAGUUCCAAGGUAUUAAAGAGAAAGUUGGUAAACGUCUUAAUGACUGGUCUGAAAAAUAUCUCUCCUCGGGUGGAAAAGAGGUCUUGAUCAAGUCAGUUAUUCAGGCGCUACCUUCCUACUCGAUGAGUGCCUUUGUUUUUUCAAAAGGUCUUUGUGAGGAUCUCGAGCAUCUAACAAGAAAAUUUUGGUGGGGUGAUGAAGAAAAUAGAAGAAAAAUCCAUUGGCUUGCGUGCGACAAAUUAACACGGCCUAAAUCCAAAGGUGGAAUUGGCUACCGUGAUCUUGCUGCUUUCAACCAAGCUCUUUUGGCAAAGCAGGCGUGGCGCCUCAUUGACAAACCUGAUAGCUUCUGUGCUAGAUUCAUCAAGGCUAAAUACUUCCCCCUUGGUAACCUCUUGGAUACUGCCUUCAUCAAAUCCUCUUCCCCAGUCUGGCAAGGUAUUAAGCAUGGACUUGAGUUGCUGAAAAAAAGUCUAUAUUUGACGUAUCGGCAAUGGUCAAUCUGUGGAUAUUUGGCGCGACAACUGGCUCCCUAGAGGGAAUCUAUGCGUCUCUGGAAAAGCCCCUCACACCAGGUUGAGAAGGGUCUCUGAUCUCAUAAAUCAGGAGCUUAAUACCUGGCACGAACAAACUGUCCGAUAGAUUUUCUACCCCCGUGAUGCAGAUGCAAUUCUCCGGCUAAAACUCCAUGUCCAGCAGGAGAAGGAUGUUGUGGCUUGGUUCCCGGGUAAGCUGGGCCUGUUCUCGGUCAAGUCCGCUUAUAUGCUCGCGAUGGAUGAAAGAGGGGACGCUUCUGGGGGAAGUUUCAGCGGCAGUCCGGAUGGUACUCGCUCUCCGUGAAGCACAAUCUGGAAGUGUAAUAUUCCGCCGAAGCUCCGUGUGUUCGCCUGGAAACUUGCAACAAACUCACUGGCAGUACAAGAUCUCCGCAGUCGCCGCCUCCCAAAAAUUAACCCUGCUUGCUCUAUCUGUGGUAAUGAAAUUGAAACCAACUAUCAUGCUAUUAUGUCUUGCACGAGGGCCCGUGCCCUAUGCCUUCGAAUGCGCCAAGAGUGGAAUCUUCCUGAUGAAAAAGUUCUGCGAUACAGUGGCCAAGACUGGGUUCUGAUCCUGCUUGACUCUGUUGAUGCGCUUACUCGUCAGCGCCUAAUUUUUAUCUGGUGGCAUGCGUGGCACCUUAGAAAUGAUUCAGUUUUCUCAAAGGGCACGGCCAGUUUCGAAGCUUCGGCAAACUUCAUCAGAAAUUACUCCUUUGCGAUGCUGAACCUGAACGGCGACGAUUCUGGCGGUCUGUAUUGCUUGGAUUCUGGUGAUGGUUCAAAGAAACUAAUGCCAACCCACUUACCAUCGAUUGCAGGCCAUGAUGCUAGCCCCAUGCUUGCUGGCCAGUCACGCAAGGAAGCUAAUCAGGUGUGGAUCCCUCCGGAUCAUGGCUGGCUGAAGCUCAACACGGAUGCCAACUUCCUUUCUUCCACCAAAGAGUCUUGGUGGGGAGCCGUGCUUCGCGACACUGCUGAUCAGGUUAUCGCUUCUGCCUGGGGUGCCUCCGAGUGUUGUGAAUCUAUCCUAGAAGCUGAAGCCAUGGCCUGUAUCUAUGGGAUUAGAACUCUUUGCACAAAUCUAGACACCAACCUCUUCCUGGAGAAUGAUUGCCUGUACCUCACCGAAGGCAUUUAGGACGCUGCUUCUAACCGCUCAACUGCGUGCUUCAGGCUCCGUGAAAUUGCGAGAAUUUUGUGAUGAAAUUGCGAGAAUUUUGUGAUUAUAAUGACUGUAAAGUUAGCUGGGUUGCCCGUACUGGGAAUAGCCUGGCACACGGCCUUGCUAAAUAUGCUAGAGAGCAGACUUCGUCAGGUUUUCUUUCCAGGUCGAUCCCGGAACCUGUCCAGGACUUGCUUCAACAUUGUACUCCGCUCCCAGCUAAUUAAGUGCAUCCUUUUGUUUCAAAAAAAAGCAAAUUAUAUACUGUUUGAAGGAGAUAAUAAAAUUAUUCAAUACACCGCUUGGGUGGUGGAGUAGUGUCAAGUAGCAGCCUUGGAGAUGAGCUGUUGUUAGAAGACUGGACAGAAAACUGCACGGAUGAGCUAGCUAGGUCUUGCCGGGUCUGGGUGUGGUUGAGCCUCGGCAACAAAAGGCGCGUUGGCUGAAGAAGCACGGAGCCGCUGAGCCUCCUCCCAACAAGAGCCGCCAUCGAUCGUCGGAGUCCGUCACGAAUCACCGCCUCCUCCCCCACAGUUUGCUCGCCACGGGGAAAGAACCAAAGUAUGGCUGAUUUUUUUUUAGAGGCUAGCUAGGGACAUGUUGUUCUGAACUAGAUAUGAUCAGAAGAUGAUAAAACAAUAGGGCUGUAUUUGUUCUCAUUGUCUCCUCACAUUUAAACAGCAAUUCCCGGAGGAAUUGCAUCUAUAUAACACAAGCUGAUGCUCAGAAAAACAUAAACAUAGACUUUCAACGAUCAAUAUUAGUAGGGCCCAUAUUAGUAACAUGCCAUACAUUUGUUAUACCAGCAAGCAAGCACAUAACGACAUAACAUCACCUAGCUUAACACAAGAGGAAGACACCAGAUUAAAAUAAACCAACUCUGCUAACUUAACUCACUCACAACCACAUCAUGACUAGGUCUUACGAAGCGAUCAAGGAUCAUCAUAUAUAUAAGAGCAGCACUAAUGGCCGUCCACAAAAAGACACGAGCAACAUAAAUGUAACCUCUUGAGCGAAACCAAAAAAAUCGAGCCAUACAAACAACAACAUUUAAGCACGGAGAUCAAUCUAGUGCAUGCUAAACCUUACGAAAUCACAACCUCGAAAAUCACAAUCAAUUAAAGCAUCCAUAACAGUUGCAUGCACCAUUGAGGUCGAGUUGCACCUCCAUCUUUUUCACUUCCCCACAAGAUCUCAUUAAAAUCACACGCCACCGGCCACGGGAGAUCCACCAUGCCUUUCAAGUCACGCAAAUAAUCCCAAGAUAGGCGCUUGCAUUAUGUACUAGGUUGUCCAUAGAAACCAGUAAAGCGCCAUCCCACCAGCAAUGCACUCACGGCAGAAGAUUUGCCCAACCCCUGGCAAUUCCAACUAAGGAUCUUCAUCGCAAAUUGACCAGCUCCCCAAAGGAGCCGCCAAGACAAGAAGAGAACUUGGCGAUCUGGAUCUUCAUCGCGAUCUGGAUCGAUCUAGAACUUGGCGACGAAAACGUCCCAAGUAGAAACCCUAGAACAGAAACCUAAUUAGGGCGAAAUUGACAAAAGGACAGAGAGGCCAACGAGGACCGGUAGGAGUAGGAAAAACUCACCGCCGCUUACUGGCGGGAGGUGGUGGACUCACCAUCGGGGAUUAGAGGGAGGAGGAGGCCGUCGGUCCUAACUUUUCAUUACUAUGCCAGAAACUAGACUUUCUUGACUCUUGAGUCUCUUGCCGGGGAAUUUGUUUGAAAGGACAAAGAGACUCGCCAACGAGGACCGGUAGGAGUAGGAAAAACUCCCCGCCGCUUACCGGCGGGAGGGGGUGGACUCACCGACGGGGAUCAGCGGGAGGAGGAGGCUGCCGGCCCUAACUUUUCAUUACUGUGCCAGAAACCUGACUGUCCUGACUCUCGAGUCUCUUCCUAAGCUGUUUAAUCUCUGACAAUAUGAGUACCAAAGUCCCGAGUCGAGCUGUGCCGAACCAAUAGAAAAAGCCCGGUCCGAAUGGUCUCGGUCGGGACUCGGGUCAGACCGCAACCGGACCGGACGGAACCGAACCGGCGAGCCAGGCGGACAAGAAGGACCCAAUAGAAAAACAGACACUCGUUGCUGCCAUCCUCUCUUCCUCUCUCUCUCUCUCUCUCUCUCUCUCUCUCUCUCCCCAACCCCGCGCGCGCGUCUCCGGCGAACGACGCACCCCGCCCACCUCCGCCCGCGCGCCUCGCCGCCUCCCCGCGCCGCCCUGCUCCCCGCCGGAGGGCUCCUCCGUUCCUCCCCCGCACCGUCCGCCCCGCGCCGCGGCUGCCCCGCGCCCUCCUCCCCCGCUCCAAACCCUAACCCUAGCCCACGGCUCCCGAGGUAACGCCACCACCCCCCCCCCCCCCCCCCCCCCCCACACACACACACACACACGUCUCGUUCAUCCUCCAUUUCUCUCCCGCGCCAUUCCGCCCUUCGCGCCCGCCACGCUCUCGGGGGGACGCUUGGGUAUGGGGAGGGUUGCGUUGGGUCCUGGGGUUUUCAGGUCACUACUUGUGGGUUCAGGAGAGGCUCAGGCAGUGGCCUGGGCGGCGUUCAUAUGCCCUUGCCACUGCCAUCCCGUUCCGUUCUCCAACGAGCUGUGCUACGGCUUCUGGUGCGGGCACUCUUCUGAAAUGCCGCAGACACACCGAAUGCCUCUGCAAACGUUGCUUAGUUUGAAUUGUGAUGUUGUCGGCAUACAUUUCGGGCAGAAUUGGGUAUGAGAGGGUUGGGACGUUAGUGUUUGCUGUUACUGUUUGCUGCUCGGUCAGGCAGGCUUGGCCAUGAUCAUGCACUGCAGCAUUCUGUGCUGCUUUCAUGCGAAUGGCCUCUAGUGUCGAGCUUCUGAUGCGUGGACGCUUCUGAAUGUGGCAUACAGGCCCAAAUGUCAUUUUAGCGAUCCUUAGUUUGGAUUGUGAUACCGUUGCGGCAGAAUUGGGCUAUUUUUUCUUGGAUAUGGAUAGUCGCUCAUUGUCAACCUGUCAAGCUGCCAUUUUAUUUUUUUGCUCUAACUGAGCAAUGCUUGGUUGGCUAGAGUACGUGUCGGCGUGCUCGCCCACCCACGUUUGAGGCCCAGCCUCCUGAGGGGUGCACGCUUGUUAGUAAAAAUGCCUGGGUGCUAGUGUUCAUGGGUCGAGUAUUUUUUUUAGAUAUGUUUUUCUUCUUUGUUUUGGUUUAUUUACAGUCACACUCUAUUUCUCCGUCUGUUUAUUGUAGCUAUUGCGUGUGGCGAUUCUCUGGAAGAUACCGUCUCUUUGCAGAGGUCCUUUGUAAUUAAUUGCGCCUCUGGGGAUCUAGCGGGUUGCGAGCGAUGCCUUCUUUGGCUUUUGUAAGGUGGUGAAUACCGAGUCGCACUCUAUGGGUGGAAUGGUCGAUUAUGGUGUUAGUGUCAGUACCAAAUCUUCACCACGCUCUGCAGCCAUUGAAAAAGCUCAGGAGGAGCUCAGGUAAGCUACUCAUAUAAGCAUCUGCAGCAUCUUUUUAUUUGAUUGGUAUGAGACUGCAGGACUUACAUUAUUAUUCUGUACUUCAGGCACCAGUAUGAUGUUCGUGAAGAACGGAGGAGAGAGUUGGAUUUUCUAGAGAAAGUAUGUUUGCAGUUUAUCUUGCAGAUAGGAAUUUGUUAUUGCGUUUGUCUAAUUACUCCUCUCUUUUUUUCCAGGGAGGCAACCCGUUGGAUUUCAAAUUUGGCUAUGUAGAAUCAGUCAGUUUGCAGUCCACUUCUCUGACAGAUCAAAUAGCUGAACAAAAUGGGAUAAGGUAACGAGUGCUUCCUGAUAUAUCAUUUGAUCGCAUUACUAUAAGUUGAUUUAGAAGCCUCUUGUCCGCUCUCAAUUGCAGUGAAGCUAAAGGUAGUUUUGCAUUUGCUGCAUCAACUCAUGGAGAUUCAGUCGAGAGUAGCGGCAAGCCAGGAAGUUCACUAUGUCGGGAGACCAACAUGGCGGACAAUCUUAUGCUCUUUGGUGGCGAUAACAACGGUAUUACAAAGGAGAAAAUUGUGAAGAGAGGAUCCAGAAGGACCAAUGCAGGUCAACUCAGGCAGUCCUCUGAUGGCCACAACAAUGCAAAAAGAGCUGAAGGUUCUGGUCUGUCUCGCCUUGGAGUGAAGAGUCAGGCAUAUGUUCGACGCAACAGGUCAAAGCCUUCUAGGGACAGUGCUAAUGUUACUUCUAUUACAUCUCCUGUGGUUCCUGCUAUAGCUUCUGAACCGAAAGAUGCAAAAGCUACAACCAAGGAAAAACAAGCAGAUGAUCUUGGUGUAUUAUAUGGUUCAAGUUUAAACCGGGCAGGACCAAAGUGCGAGAAGGAGCCUAAUGCAGCUUCUGAUGAACAUAUGGCAAUGGAGUUGAGUGGGACUCGAACAAUUCACGAAGGCCACUGCACAGUAAAGCAUGAAGCAAGGCAAGGUGAUCAUAAUAAUAGUGUAGCUACAGAAGCGGUGCUGAAUGACGUGAAUGGCAAACAGCAACCUGAUGGAUGUGGUGAGAUAGCUGCAGCAGGUGCAUCCAUAGAGACCCCUGAUGCUACUUCAAAACCCGUUCUAAGGUCAUCUUAUUCUAGCUUAUCUACACAUGAUGAGAGAGAAACAUGUGCUGAUGAGAAGGUUGACAAUGAUCACUUGGAUGAAGAUAUGGCCCAUAUCCAUGUAGGUGAACUGGGUAACAUCAGUAAAGGUCCUGUCUGUGCUGUCGAAGCUGCCACUGUGCACAAAAAUGCGAUGGAUUCACGUUGUGAAGACAUGACCAUUACCAUUGGUGAUCAUGCAGAUGAUAGUAAUCUAGUUCCAAUGAAGAUUGAUAGGAAGUCUCAUGAAGAUCUGGACAUCAGUGGAAUAUCUAGCAAGGAUGUUAACGAAGGUGGACAAUUGGAAGGUCUUAGCAGGCUAAGCUCUGUGAGGGAAAAAUCCUGUUCUGAACAACCUGAACUUAGUACCACUGUUCUUGUGAAAGAUGAAAUGGAAAUUUCUGACGAUGCAAUAGUUGAACAGAAAGAUACCAGCUGCCCAGAACCUAGCCACCUUAUCAACAAUAAGGAAACCCCAGAUUUGGAGAAUAACAGUUCUCAUGGGGAUUCUAACUCUGCCCAUCCUACGGUUGUAGGCCCUGCUUUAAAUACUUUUCCUGAUUCUACCCCAUCAUCAAAAACUUACGGGUCUAACGUGGUGAGUGAGAUUAAAAAAUGUGGAGAGAGCCUCAGUACGAUGACAAACAAGGAAUAUGAAGAUUCUAUCCUUAGAAAAGCUUGUCUUAUAGAGGUACUGUUACUAUACAUAUUAUAUUAUCCUUCAAUACCAACCUGGUUCUAAAAAUAGUGAAAAUAUGUUGCACAAUAGGUGGGUCUUAAGAGAGCUUGUGAACGUUCCCCGUGUAAUAUAUCUUUAGAGAAGAGGAGAAAGGGUCACUGGGACUUUGUCUUAGAGGAGAUGGCUUGGAUGGCGAAUGAUUUCAUGCAGGUAUGUUGUCAAGUUUUGUUCUCCCCUCAUGCUUGCAUCCUGCAUGGAAUGGUACAAGGCGAAUCUGGUCGCAGUGACGCUGUUAUCUGCUCAAGUUCUUACACAGUUUUGUCUUAUUUAAUAUUUAUUCGUCUUAUUUAACAAUGGGUACCUAAACAUAGAAAGAACUGUCACUUAGAUCCCUUAACUGUUAGUCUGGUACCUCCUUGAACUUACAAAAUCGUGUCACUUGGGUCAUUUCAACUUUAACUUACUAAAAUGAAGUGGCUAUGCAGAAAUAAAUGUGUGGCAAUGAAGUUGUUAGUUAUGUGACCCCAAUUUAUUAUGUACUGCAUUGAUCAUUGACAAGCCCACAAGGAUUGAUGUUAGUUCGGCGUGUGUAUCCAGUUGACAUGUCAGAUGUCACCACUUGGCUACAAAUAUUCAUUGUACCAUUGAACUGGGAUCAUCUGUUUACCGAGCCACAUCAGUAUUGUGCCUCAGAUGUUCUAGUAUGCUAACAAUUUUAGCUAACUGUAUAGUUGUGACGAUCUAAAUUGACACAAUCGACAUGUUUUUGCGACUCCUGCAAGUUUAGGGACCUGCCAAAUAAUUUUCAAGUUCAGGGACUAAGUGAUACUUCAGUGCUUGUUUAAGGUCCUCUGAUCCACUUUACUCUUUUUUGAGUUGAUCUCAUCCUUGUGUAAUCUGAUAUUUGCAUUAAAUAGGAGCGUCUAUGGAGAAUUACAGCUGCAUCUCAAGUGUGCCAUUGGAUUGCCUCUGAUGGUCUGGCCAAGUUUGACCAAGCAAGCAUUUAUAGAAAGCAGAAAACUGUUAUUAGAAGCCUUGCAAAGGGUGUCAUGAGUUUUUGGCGUUCAGCUGAGGCUGUACUAACUGCAGCUGGAACUGCUAAAGUGAUGCAAAAGGAUGAUUCUGAUAUGCUGGGAGAGACAAAGCCUACCGGAAUCAAAGCUGAUAACAAACAGGUAUGUGAAACUCGUCCCAAGCAUUUACUCACGGGUUGUGGUGUACAUGUUUUCAUGACAUCACACAUGUUCCUGUUUUAGUGCCAAUACAUACAGGAUUUUGGCAGUAAAAUAGACUUCGUUAAUAGUUUUACCCUCACAAAAUCAUGCUUUAGUAUCGGUAGGCAGUAUGCGAUUAAUACAUCGUUGGAUAUUUGUAUAAUCUGUGAGAUUGACAUUAUCUGUGGAUUUGUAUAGGGCAAUGAAUCCAUGGAAACGGAACACUCUAUACGGCCUCUUCGAUCUCAAAUUCAGGAUUAUGCAGUUCGAUUUCUUGAAUAUAACAGUCAGGCGUCUGAUUCUGUGUUUACUGAAGCACCACCUACUCCUGACAGGCUGAAUGAAUUUGGCAUCUUGAAAGUGUCCACUCAACUUUCACAAGUAUUUGUCACAACUUUCUGUAGUCUAUGAUUUAUUACUUUCAGUACUUUCUUUUUCUCAUGCUCUACUAAGUACUCAGUUACCCUGUUUCCACAUUUAUCAUAGCUGCGUCGUUUUCUGAUUCUUUUCUUCAUUUGUAGGUAAGUCUCUUCUAUGCAGUACCACCUGGUGCAAUGCUGGCAUAUCGGGAGUCCGUGGAAUCUCUUUUCAUGUAUCAUAAGGUGAAAAAAAAAGCUUUGUUCACACUUCUCAAGACAUAAUGAAUAUACUCUGUUUCUUCCUUUCAGUUUUUCUUCCUUAACGAACUUUUUUAUUGUAGUUUGUAACAUACAUGGAUUGGCAAAUGGGAAUACAUGCUUAAGCAACCUAAUGGACAUAAUUUGUUUCUUUGGUUUAUUUUUGACUUAUUAGUCCUGAAUUGUCCUACGCCAUGGGUAGACAAUUGUAUGUAAGCAAUUAGCAAUGAACAAGUCAUUUUAUUUUUCACUUCAUUGGCUCGAAUUGCUGGUGGCUGCUGUACGAAAAAACUCUAGGCUAUGAAUAUCAUGGAUGCCAAGAGGAAUUUUUGUUGCUGUGUUUUCGUUUUAGGCAUUGCCUCUGUCAGCACAACAUUCCUUUUGUCGGCACUUGAGUAGCCUGCUUUACUUUGGUUUUCAGCGCUUAGGAAUUCUUUUUGUAAAACAUAUUUAACAAAGUUAAUAAUUGCAGAACAUUGGCACUGGACUCAAGUAUAACUAUGAGGCAUCUGUGUGUGAUUCAGCUGCAGGUAAUAUUUAUCCUACCUUAGAACUUUGUCCUAUCAUAUUUAUUAUCAAAGUGCAAUAUAAAGUGGGGCAUAUGAUCGAAUCCCCCUACUAUUAUUAAUACCUUUAGCCUUCUACAUUUUGUUCAGAUUUGGCUCAGGACAAUGCCUACGAUGAGGAUGAAGGCGAGACUUGUACUUAUUUAUUAGCUGAAACAUAUGAUGGUGGCUUAUUGCCAAAAAUGGGUCACAAGAAGAAACACAUAAUGAGGCAGAGGAUUAACAGUGCAAGGCCAUAUGAAAUAGGCACUGAUGUGUCUUAUGAACCGUGCUUGGAAAGAAAGUCAGGAAACCAGCAAUUUUUUUCAAAUGGCAAAAGACCUUCGUCUUUUGUUGGAAUUCCAACAAAGCGUAUCCGUACAGCUGCUAGGCAACGAGUUGUAAGCCCAUUCCCUACUAGUGUUGGUGGAACGCCCCAUGUUAAAACAGAUGCUUCAAGUGGAGACACAGACUCCUACCAAGAUGAUCAAAGUUCAUUGCAUGGUGGGUCCUUAUCAUGGAAAAACGCAGACUAUGAAUCUACAGUUGAUUUUGACAGACAAAUGCCAUAUGAUGGCAGCGAAGCGUGGACCAAAGCUAACAAGAAGAAAAAACAUAAGAGCACAGGGUACAAGACUGCUCAAAAUACAGCCAAUUCAUAUGCCUCAGCUGCAGUAAAGGUAAUUUCCUUAAGCAUGCUCCGCAUUUUUGUUGCUUGGGAUGGUUUAUCAGAGUAAUUUUUUGUCCUAAUGUUUCAGGGCCGUAUCUACGAUCAGAGAUCGCAAGUUGAUAUGAUCACUCAAUACGAGCAGGUCCUUUUUUCUCUUCCAUUUCCUGUUGAUAUCAAUUAAUGAGAUAUACAUAGAUUCUUCUGUAGUUUUAGUUUAGGUAUGUAAUUUUUGUUAGGCUAACAUCUUUAAAAAAACUUCCUGUCCAGAAGGAUUAUCUGAAGAAGAGAUCAGAGACCCAACAAUUUUAUUCAAAUGGUACUUUCAUGUUUCAUCCCCCCUUUUUGUAAAUUGUUCCACUUGGAACCUAUGUCAUACAAGAAUGAACUACGUGUUCUUCACGUAUUUGAUAGAAAGAUUAAAUAGCUCCUAACUUGUCGAUGGAUAUUUUGUUUCUAUGUCACCCAUAGUUACAAAUGGUGGUCAACAUGCUUUUAAGAAGCUUAAAAUGAUGAAGCAAGGGAUAGAUAUUUCACAAGAAGCUUCUCCCGUUGCAUCACAGAUGAGCAACAUGGCAAAUCCUGCUAAAAUUAUAAAGAUCAUCACUAAUAGGGAUCGUGGGAGAAAAGUGAAGGCACUAAAGGUAUUAUUAUUUCUCUACAUUGAGCCACAUUCCUUUUUCUUUGUUUGCAUGGACAGUAUUGUCACCGACUCACCGUUGAUAAAAUAGUCAUUUAAGCUGGAUAGACAGUAGAAAGUAUGCUCAUUCGGUAUGCUCUGGGCCUCGGCGGUCCUCUUGCUACCAGCAGUACACCAACAUUCUACUCCGGUUAUCUAUGUUGCCGACUAGUCAGAUAGUUUCAACUCAGGUUAAACAAGCAGGUGGUAGUAUUAAGCUUUGUAGUUGUUUCAGUUGUAUAAUAGGAAAACAAGGGAUAAAUUAGAAAACAAGGUUACUGAGAUCUGAAUUGGUAGAUGGAUUACUUAGUUCUUUACACAUUUUCUUGGUCCAUAUUUUUUCCCCUUGGACCUUUUUGGUGUUCAACUGGAUUAUAGUACGAAUGGCGAGAGUAUUUGAAGUUGCCUCUUUUGUAAGUUGAGAUGUCGUAAUUGUGAACUUCCAAGCAGUAUAGUGUAUGGACAGCACAUGGUGCACAUGAUUUGCUUAUUGAAAUAUUAUAUGCUUUUGGCAGAUGUCUUCCGGUGGUGGAUGGUCAAACUUCGAGGAUCAGGUUCUUGUGUGCUUGAAGUAGUACCUUUUCUCUCUUGCGGUUAUGGUUUGUGGUAAUGGACCUAAAUAUCUUAAAUAUUUCAGGCUCUUGUUGUCCUUGUCCAUGACUUGGGUCAAAACUGGGAGUUAGUAAGCGAUGCAAUUAAUAACAUCGUGCAGUUCAAGGUAACUUCAUACCUGGGAUAAAAUCUUUUGCUAUGUUGUAUAUUUUUAUCAUAAUAGUUUAAUCAUGUAGUAUGAACUUUGGUUUCUUUCCAAUCCCCGUCUUUUGGAUAUUUUUAUUGGUAGGAACUAUUCAGAGUAAUUUAGGCUUCUUUGAAUUGGCACUCUCUACAGUAACUAUAUAGCUAUCUUUUCUUUACUUUUCAAAUCAUGUUCUGUCGUACGAAACUUUAUCAAAAUAGUUGAGUCGCUGCUUCCUUUCUCAAAUUCAACUUUUGAGUUUCCUUAAUGGGAGCUGUAGGGGUUAUGAGUUUCCUUGUAUACUGUAUAUGCAGUCUGUACACAGACAACCUAAAGAAUGCAAAGAGCGCCAUAAGGUUCUUGUGGAUAAAAGUUCUGGUGAUGGGGCUGACAGUGCAGAAGACUCUGGUUCAUCUCAACACUAUCAGUUCACCAUACCUGGCAUUCCAAAGGUAUGAUCUUCCAUUAUUAUUUUUAAUAUUGUUUACUGCUUGGUAGUUGUUGGCACACAUGUGAGAUUGCAGGGUGCAACUCACACAGAUACAGCGUUGGACCUUCUAUUUAGUCUGUUGAAUACCCCCCCUUUUGAAUCAAGUGCAGAUUUCGUCAACACCUGUCAACAUCUUUGCGAUAGCAUGUACUUUGUUUUGAGCAAGCACAACAGGCUUUCAUUUUCUAACAUACCUUCAUAUGCCCAUCAGGGUAGUGCCAGGCAGUUGUUCCAGCGACUUCAAGGACCAUUUGAGGAAGAAAAUCUUAAGUCACAUUUUGAAAAAAUUGCACUCCUCAUGCCACAAGUGCAAUCCAGGCGAAGACAGGUUCAUCUUUUCUCUUUUUUCUUUCAAGGCCUUUUGUUGAUUUUCUGGCGGUAUAUGAUGCAACUAUGUUUGCACCUUUCAAAUUGUAUUUGUAAAUCUUGCUAUGUUUCUUUUUUAUUUCUAUGCCCUCUCUUGCAAUAAUACUAGGUUAUCAUGGGUGAAGUUGGGUACUCGUAGCAUAUGCUGCUCACAUUGUACUAAAAUUUGAAUCAUGCUUGUCUCUGUUGUUUUGGUCUAUUUAUGUGUGUAACUGCAUAUUUGCACAUUGAAUUGAUACGCUAUAAUAUGGCAGGUUGUGGACUCGUUCACAUGAGUUCAUAUCAUCUUUCUAAGCUCUAAAAUAUUCUUCACUUGCCUUCAUUUUUACUUUGUUUUGCUGCUUUUGGCUAUACUGCUGUGGCUUAUGGUUAUGCUUUUAAUGGUGUCUCAGGUUAACAGCCGGGAGCUCAAGCCGAUCAUACAGCCACAUAGUUCUCAUGUUGCCGCACUAUCACAAGCAUGCCCAAACAACUUAUCUGGGAGCACUUUGAUGUAUGUCAUUGCUGCUUUUGAUCUCACUUUCUGGAUUUUGCCAAUAUAUUUUGUCUUACAUGGAAUAAAGUUUCUGUGUUGAUGUCUAUCUGUAACAGGCCACUUGAUCUUUGUGACACAAUAAGUCCGAAUCUGGAUGCAAUCACUCCUGGUAGCGGUUACCAGGGCUCUCAUGCAAAUGGUUUGACGCUAUCAAAUCAUCAUGGUUCCAUUGGUACUCCGAGUCCAACUCCAAAUUCCAGGUUACAAGGAUCUCCUGGUAUGGUUCUGGGCAGCAACUUAUCGUCACCUGCAACAUUGAGUGCCCCUUCAAGGUAAAUGUUCAACUAUUCUUCCUAGUAGUUGUAUCGAAUGUAUUCUACAGAGUGCACGUUAAAGUUCAUUUAUACUGCUACAGGGAUUCUCAGAAAUAUGGUGCUCCUAGAUCGACCUCUUUACAGGUUGAUGAUGAGCAACAGAAGAUUCAGUAUAACCAAGUGGCCAGUGGUAAAAAUCCUCAGCAAGCUGGAGUUUCUGCUCCUGGAACAUGUCCUGCUGGGGUUGAUCGUGGUGCUCAUGUGAUGCCUGCUGUUAAUGGUAUUGGAAUGACAGCAGGGGUGAAUCGAGGUCCUGCAGUUAGGCCAGGCUUUCCAAGAGUUAGUUCCCCAGGAAUGCUGAAUAUAACAUCAACUGGAAACAUGUCACCCAAGAGUGUGCAAGGAGUGCCAAAUGCUGUAAAUGUCCAUUCGGGAGCAAUGUCUUCCCUUGGAAAUUCAGUAUUGAGGCCGCGUGAUCCUAUGCAGAUGCUUCGCGUGAGUAGCCCCUUCCCUGUUGUAUUAUUGAAACUUCUAAAUUGGUUCUCUUUCAUCCACGAUUGCCUAAAGCAUGUCUUAAAGCACAUGCUUGUUAUCUAGUUAACACUUCAUCACAAAGAGAAGAAAUAGGGAGUGCCUGAAGAUUGGCAGUAAAAACUUACUCCCUCCGUCGCAAAGAAUUUAUACAAAUCCAUGUCACUUAUUUCCGGACGGAGGGAGUAUAAAAUUCAAUUAGUGUCUUCACAGCAGUGCUGCUGCUGGAUGCAGGAUAAGCCAUGUACAGCUUUCCCAUUCUAUCGAUGCAUCGAGACUAAAGCUUUUGUGUUUUAUCAAAUAAAAAAACAUCCUCGAAGCUAUGGAUGUGUUUUUUGUUCAGGUUCACCAAGUGUUGCUCGCUAUUUAUGAUUGUACAAAAUAAAUUCUCGUGGUAACCAAUAUAAUGUUAUAAAUCACUAGAAGGCUGUGCCAAGGUUCUAAUUGUCACUAGUACCUGCGUAGAAAAUAUUCCUUCAGUUGCUAAAUGGAUAUAAUUUAGGCGUAGACACUGUUUCCACUUUACGACUUGGACAAUAAUUUUUUUUAGUUUUAUUUUAGUGGAAGAGCAUAACAUCAUGCAAGUACCUUUCAUGAUUUUUUGGUUAAUGAUCCAUUUCUGUAUGGCCGUUCAAAACACGUUUCCCCCUUUGUCUCUUAGUGGUAUACUGAUAUAAGAUUAUUAGGAUUGCAUGAAAAUUAAAACAUGGUCUAGUAACAGCGGACUACUUUUGUUAGUUAUGCAAUUUUGACAUUGUGAUGGUUAAAGACACUAUGAUGGCUAAAGCGACUCUAUUGUCCCACUGAACCAACUACUAAGUGAGCAGUAGUUUUUUCAUUCUCCUAAUUCCUGUAGUUUUUAUUUUGCUACAUGUGCUUGCUCUUGGAAACUGUCUGUAACUAUAACUCCUUCUAAUGAAUCGGCAGAUCUUCUGCUGUUUGCUCAAGAAAAUAGUUCUUGGGGAGAAUUAAUGGGAUUCCCAGAUUACUGAUGAUAUAUGCUUUCUUUCUUUUAGCCUGGUCAGCAUAUGGACGAGCAUAGACGAAUGGUUUCACAGGGAAGCAGUCGAGCUGCCCAUUUCAGCAGCAUGAAUCCGCCAUUCUCCAAGGCUGCAGCUCCUUCACCUGUUCAUCAAACCCAAAAGCUCCAUCAGAUGUCACAACCAUCACACGUGCUGGGAAACCCACAUAAUCCUCGGGCCCAAGGAACUAACCAUUCAAGCUCACACCAGCAGUCAUAUGCAGGACACUUCGCUAAAGAAAGACAAUUUCCACAACGUAUGGUGCCUCAGCAGCACAAUGAUCCUUCCGGAGCAAGUGCAGUACCCAGUGUGCAGAAUGGACCACAUAUUCAGCAGCAGAACAAAGCACCUGUAGCCAGUUCAACCCCUCCUUCGCAACCACUGCACCAGCAGCAGCAGCCACCGAUACAAAAUCCACCAGAUAGCUUUGCACCUCCCAAUCAACCUGCCAGCACUGCAGAACCUAAGCAGAAGAAACAACAGGGUCAACAGCAGGUUAGACAAAAUCAACAGCAAAGGAAUCAAGCUAGUCAACAAGCUAAGCUUAUGAAGAGCUUAGGACGAGGAAACAUGCUGAUACCUCAGACUCCUGCAGUUGAUGCUGCUCCAGCUAGUGCUGUUUCUACCUGUUCCAAGAAACAAGCUUCUGACAAGAAUCUGAUGCAACAUGGCCAAGGAUCUUCCCCUGGUAAUAAAGCAUCAACUUCAGCAAUACCUCAGCCUGGGAAUCAACAUAUGCUAUACGCUUCAUUGCCGCAAUCGCCAAAACAGUUGCCAGACACUAGUAGCCAAGGCUUGAUGCAGGGUUCUCCUAGUCAUACCCUGUUAGCUGCACCACAGCCUCCAGUUCAUUCCAAACCGCCGUCGACUACGCAGCAACGGCAGAUCAAUCCAUCACAGAAUAGCAUCCAAAGGAUGAUGAUGCAACAAAACCUCCAAAUGAACUCUGACUGCAGGAUGGACGCACAAAUCGACCAAAUCCAACACAAUCCGGUGAUUCCAACUACAUCUAUUUCUCAUGGUACAGAGUCCAGCAGUCCUGGCCUUCCAUGUAUGAACCAGCAGAAGCACGAGGCAUCAGCAAAUGACGUUACUUCAGUCACCUCAACAUCUAAGCUGAUUUGCUCUCCUAAGGAUAAUUUAGUCGGAAAUGGAGCAUCGUUGCCAUCAUCUAGCCAAGAAUUGUUGCAAAGGAAAAUUUCAGGUGGAUUGCCUAUGCACGGGCAAGACAUUGGUGGUCAGUGGCACCAACAACAAUCUAUGCAGCAUCUGCAGCCUCCACAUCAUCAACAGACUCAACACCAGCAGCGACCUGUUGUUCAAGGCAGUUUGUAUGCUCCUUCAAAUUCAGGGUCAGGCUGAUGAAUUUAGUAUGGGCUGGUCGUUUUUAUGGAGCAACCCUUAUUUCUCAUCUAAAGUUACUGUACAGGUACGCAUUUCCCUGGCUUGUUUAUUGCUUGUUGGCACAUGUUCUACCCUUAAAUUGUAACUGUAAUUAGUAUGUACUCCGUACAUUAUUAUGAGAGAUAGAUUAAAAUCAUGAAACCACAUGGAUUCCUGUCCAUCAUACUGAUCUUUUGACCAUUCUGAUCUUGCUAGGUGUCUGCCAUGGAAGCUGCUGCUGAUAGUGCUCCUCCUAAUUCAACUUGUUUGCUAAUUGUAGUCAUCGUAGGUAGAUAAAUUUUUCGUGUGCCAUUUGCUGGCCCACCCUUUUGGAGUCAGAAUAUGCUUCAUUGCAGUCUAGAGUAGCUGGAGAUAAUUUGCUUUGUUGCAACUUGCAAGAGCUAAUGUCUUUGUCUUGUUGGAUAGUAGAUCAUAACCCAGAACCUGGGCCCAGCUGUAUAUUUUUUGCGUACAAGGUCCAUGCUUCUAGAGUCAGAGUCAGAUGCUCACAAAAGCCUAUGAAUGCAAAAGUGGUUCUUUGCAUUUAGAUGUGAUCCUCUUCUGUUUUAUCUUCAUUUCAAUUCAAGCUCCCCAGUUAUAUAUAUUUUCAUUGCAAACAAUCUGGGACGACGAAGGUGUUAAGACCCUUGUGGUUAAUGUUUAUGUAAUUCUAAACGCAUAUACCUCAGUGUGUUAAUGUUAAUAAAUAAAAGAACAAGGUAAAGGAAAGAAUGAAAAUGCAGGCUAAUGUUAAUGUAUUUCCACUUGAGAAAAUAAAGGAAAGAAGAAGGUAAGGGGAUAAAUAAGUACUGUAAAAAAAAAGAAGGCAAGGGGAUAAAGGCACGGUGGGCCAUCUCUGUCAGUGGCUACUGAGUCCUCAAAUCGCAAAUCAAGGAGAAGGGGAUCAAAUCCGCACACCAUUUCCUUUGUCUUUGUGUAUGUGUAAGCUCAAUCAAUCAUUCGCCUCGACGCCGACAUGGCCGCCCACGGCAAGCCCAAGCCCAAGCCGCCCGGUGCCCCCGCGACGCCGCCGCCGCCGCCGCCAUCGGCGGAGGCGAGGAAGAGCUUCAUGCGCCGGAUGUUCCCCUUCCUCCUCGCCGCCAACCUCUUCGUCGGGGGUCAGCUCAGCUCAAACUCUUCCACCCUUUCUCAAAUUCUCUUUCUCGAGCUCUUGAUUUGAUUGCUGGGAUCGAUGCUACAAUAACAACUACCACUGUUCAGAGUUCGCAUUCAGCAAUUACCUAGCUAGGUCUUUUCCUGUGUCUUCUUACCACAGCAGAACUAGAGUCUAGAGGAAGUUCGAUUCGCAGAACCGGCCAUGUUUUAGAAUUUUUUUUCCUCUUUCCCUUUCGCCAAAUUUCAGGUCAUGGGUGAGGGUGAUUCACCUGCCAGCUUAAACGCUGCUUCUCAGCACAUGUUCCUUGCUUCAAAGCCAGUAUCGAUGUGUUAGCAGAUUCUUUUAUUUGUCAAUUGUGUCCUCUUACAUUUGCUCUUUUCUUCCCCCCGCUGGGAUUAAUGCAGCUUACGUGGUCGUGAGGACCUACUAUAAGGACUCAGGGAAGAAAGAUGCUCAGGCUGAUCAUCCUGUCGCUGCUACCGUCUCGACGCCGUCUGCUACAGCUGCUGACAAGUCCCCGGAAUCUGCUGCUGCUGCACCCAGUAAGGUGUUCCCGCCGAUACCUCAAGACGAGCAGCGCCAGCUCUACAGAUGGAUGCUGGAAGAGAAGCGGAAGGUCAGGCCGCGCGACGCGGCGGAGAAGAAGAAGCUCGACGAGGAGAAGGCCCUUCUCAAGGAGAUCAUCCGGGCAGAAUCCUUCCCAAGCCUGUGAAUGCCGACCUCGCCGAUCGUUGCUUGAAUCUGUCGUGUCUCUUAUUGUUUCCCUGGGAAUGGCUUGCACCUGUGAUUGGCUUGUUGACGUGUGCCUCCAUGAUGUGAUCUCUCAUGUCCAAAGGUGUUGUUUUCUAUGAUGCAAAACUAGUCUUGCCUUAAUUGGUUCUAGAGAUUCUUCAAGAAAAGGGAUUUUUCGUGUGGGUUUGUCUCGUUUAAGUUUAAACAACAGCAGGGAUUUUCGUUUCUGAUUCUUUCUGUUCUGUGUCCUUGUGGCGAUGUGUGAGCUCAGCUUAACAAUUUCCAUAUAAUAAGCAAAUAUACAUCAGAUGUACAGUCUGCAUCUGGGGCCCAAUCUCUUUCAGAUAAACUCAUGCGGGCGGCUGUAAGUGUCAUGUCUGUAUGAGUGUAGGUUUGUGAUAGCAAUAGUAGGAGGCAAACCUGAACCCUUCCAGUGGUCCCAGGAGGCCAAGUGAUUGCAGAUAGCCACACAUCCAAACAGCCUGAAUAGCAUCCACUAGCUGGUGCUCUCCUUCUCUAUGCUCUAGAUCAGAAUUGGAGGGCUUCUGUGCAGCACCAGGAUGCCCGGCAGCAUCCACAUCUCAGGCAAGUUAUUCUCUCUUAUGAUUUGUGCUGUUGUCUUGUAAAAACAAAUCCGAACAAAAUGACCAUACUGUUAUACUGGAAGCAAGAAUUUUGCUGUUCAUUUUGUUUUCAUUUUACUGUGAAGCCAUUAAACCACCAGUCACCGCUCCGCUGUUCUUGCAAGGUUGGUGUUCUGAUUGUACUGUGCUUUCCUCUUUCUUCACUUUCCAGUUACUAAUAUUAUUGUUUGUAUACACAAAAAUCGUUUUGGACACAGUCGUUGUGGGCAAAAGAGAAUACCGUGGAAGCAUAGGACAAGAUGGUUUCUCUUUGUAAGCCUAUUUUCAUACUGCCUUGAGUGGCAUUUAAUUACUGUUACCUUUCUACUUCCACAAAUGUACAUUGAAGCUUUCUUUAUGGUGCUUAAAGGAAACUUUGUAGUUCCCUCACACGGAAAUAUCUAUGUGCAGUCCAGUUACAUCACUCCGUGACAGCACGGUAAUGAUGCUGCGGAAUGCUGACGAAGAAUUGAUAUCAAAAACAGGUAUUAUUUUUGUUGUUGGUGGUGUUUUUAUCUUUAUCAGCAGACCUACAAUUGAUGUGCAUCACGAUUUCUUGAGAAUCACCACAGAAGUAAAGACAAAGGAAAUUGUUGAGUUAGGAACUAUGGAUGUUGUUUUUACACUUGAUAGUGGAGGGAAAAUUAUUAUCCAGUUGCAAUUCUUGCUCAGUGCUGAAGAUCGCAAACGCGUCCAAGAAAUGGUAAGAUGGCCCUUUUUACCUUGUUUGCUAUUUCAUCAUAAGUUAAAGAUCGUUUUCCCCCACAAAAUGUCCAGCUUAAGUCAAAGCAUAUUACUUUGUUUAUUUAUACUUAUUUCCUAUUAUUCAGAGGAACUUUGCAAUGAAAAGGAAACAGCAAGAGCUGCUUGGGAAUGGUCUUUAUUUUCAAGGUAACCCGUAAAUUAUAAUAUUUUCAGUUCUGUCUGUUUUUCCAUUGCAAGUACAAAUUUGGAGAUCCAUGCAACAGAUUGUAUGCGCUAGAUGUGUGAUGCCAAUUUCUCCCCUACAAGGCUGAGGAUACCCACUUCAUGCAUUAGUACUUCUUAAAAUUCUUUCUUGUGAUGUUAACAUAGGCCCAGAACUGAGGCAUGUACACUCAUUAAACUUCUAGAUUUAGUCCUAAUUUUUUGUUAUACCUUAAUUGCGAUGCUAGUUUGUAAUAUUAAUCAUAGAUAAAAUAUGUAAUUGAUAUGAACAACAUGUGGGAGUUCUCUUUCUUACAGAUUGCUUUCAAAUAUAUCAGACAGCCAGUUGUCUAAGGAGCAGACUGAAAAGAUCUCCGACAUCCCAAGCAAAGGAGAUCAACUUACGCUUUGGAAGAGUCUGUUGCUAGAUGACUUGAAAGAGAGCGCUGUCUUCUCUGAAAUAAGAGUUGAUUCCCGCAUGAAGGCUUCAAAGGACCUGCUACUGCCAAGUGUUGGAAGCACUUCAAAGCUUGAAGGACCCAUCAUCGGCUCCAAGAAAGGGCAUGGUGAACCAGAGAGUAGAGCAAGUAGUGCAGUGAAGAAGAUGAUAAGUGCCUUCGAAAGCAGCCCUCCACAGGUUUUAAACCAAUCAAUAUAUUGAGAAACAAAUAGCUUCAUUCCCUGAAUUAUGCUUGUCAGGUUUUGGGGGGAAACACCGAUUGCUUUACUGUGCACCAAGAAGGGUUUAUAAUGUAUACAUGUACGGAGACAAAGGAAAAAUGCAUGGAACCUAAUUCUAACAAACUUCACAUAUAUUUACACCAUCUUCUCUUGGAUUGCAGAGUCUGCCUUCGAUUACAAGGAUCAAAUCAGAAAGCUCAUUGGAAGUGAUGUCAGUUUCUUCAGAGACUGGUACCAAUUCUUCAGACAAGCCUUCUACUCCUGGCGCACCAGCGAAUGCUUCCGACCGUACGCAGACAGGCCUUGUGGCCGAGACAUCGGGCAAAGUGACCCUUCGUUCUGGUGAUAAGGAUUCCAGUUCGAGGUCAGGAAGGCAAGUUAUGUUUGGCAAUAAGAAAUCAAAUGCAUCUAGACAGAUCAAUCUAUCAAAUACAUAUGAAAGCAGAAGACGAAGCUCCAGUAGGCGCGAUGAACCAGCUAAGAAGAGCAUGGGAGAAGCUGACCUGAUCCGUUCCAAGAAGCGGUCUGAAGACAAGCACCGUCGCUCCAUUGGUCCCUACUCGCCUGAGCAGACUAACAGUUUGGUUGCAACAUCUAGCAUCACCUGGAUCCACCCACAUGUUUGUAUCACCACCGCGAGCCGACAGCUCAAAGAUCUUGUUGAGCUUGAGCGCCUGGACCCAAUGAAGUACGUAGAACAGAAUGUCCAGGAAGACACUGACGAGGUACGGAAAACUAAACUGAUGUCGAUGUUCCUACCAACUGUUGGUGCUUUUACUGCUUUUUAGGUUUGUCUUGCUGCUUCGUUCAUCUUCAUAUGUAUCACAAACCAAAUUUUUGGAGCAGUGCACGAGCAUCGAUGAGGUGAGGCACGUGGCUGACUCUGCGCAACGGAGUGGUGGGUUUCCAGUGUUGAAUGGGUGGAUGAUUAACCAGGCAAGUUAUUGCUUUGACCUCUCCUAUCCUAUCCUCUCUGAUGCAUGUUGCUCAAGAGUUUGUUUGCACAUGCUAAAUAUGGAUGUACUUGAAAACACCACUGAUGCAGGGGGUGCGUGUGGUCAUUGUGAUCAUAGCCUGCGGUGCUGUGUUCCUCAACAACAGGUGAAGUCAGAGGACUUGCAAUAUCGAUUAGAGGUUAUUGUCGCUCAGACUGUCAAUGAUUUGGAAGCGUCUUCAUGAUACCGAGCUCCCACACAGGAAUGUGUGGGAGGACAGGGCACACGAGUAUCCAGGAUUUUGUGUGAUGUUUUUUCAGAAAUGAUUAUUUAUUCGCUCUCGCGUUCUUGUGGAUGUUGUUGGCAUAUAUACACGUGAGAUUACAGGUAUGUAAAAUGACAAAAGAUCUGAUGAAAACCAUCCUUACAUAUGUUGGAGGUGUGAUAUUGUACAAAUUUGCAAAAUUAACGGAUGCCUCACAGAAGGCAGAUUGGCUUUAUUUUUAACGACAGAUUGGCUCUUAAUUUAAAGGCAUUCAGCACGUAACGAUUCGAUAGAUGUUUAGGGUUAAAAUCAACUUUGAGACGCACGAUUUGUAAGAAGGCACGACAGUUUGUAAGUUGGGCUGGCUGGGCUCUAACCUAAGGAAGGAAGAAUAUAGUACAUGUAUAUAUACAGUUGUUUUUGCUUGCAACUAUCUCUUGCAAUCAAGGAUCGAUCUAGCUGUUAAUCUAGCUAGCUAGUAAAGAUAGACCUAAUUAAGAAGUCGAUGAGAUUAACAGCUAGAUCGACUUCUUAAUUAGUUGGGCUGGGCCCUAACCUAAACCUAAGGAAGGAAGGAUAGAUCGCGGCCCACGGCCCACCCCCACCUUAAUUUCUCAUUCUCUGAUUCUUCUCCCUGGCGAUCGCUGGCGGCUCUUCUUGGGAGGAGGCUCAGUGGCUCCGUGCUCCAGCCAACGCCUGUUGGCCUGCAGUUCUUGCCGAGUAUAUUUAAUACUUAGCAGUAUUGAGCAGCCUAGCUAUGUAGUCUAGUAUAAUUUACAAAACAAAUCACAGUAUAAAUUAAAUAUUACCAGAGGAUAACUUGCUCGUCCCUCCAGCUAGUUUGCUGUUGCAGUUGCGUCGAUACCCUCUUCGUACUACUACCUCCGAUCCAUGAAAAAGUGCCGUCCACUUGAUACAAAAUUGGUACAAAAUGGACGACAUUUUUUAUGAAUCAGAAGGAGUACUAAAUAAUUUAUUCGAGUUGCACGCACGCCACUGUAUUAGCACAACCAAACACGUCUGAAAUCUUUCCUAGCUAGCUAGUAUUGUUACUCUUGCUACCAUCAGGAUAGAUCUGCCCUCUUCCUCGGUUUCCCCCUACAUAUAUGGGAUAUUUUAAGAAAUGAGCAUCUUUCUUCGUAGCAGGAUCAGGGGAAAGAAUGGGAAAGACAAUUUCACUAUAUUUCUUACCGGGAACAGGGCCUAUCACAAGAAUAUUUUUUUAUCGGGACGAUAACUCUGAAAAGUGUUCUACUUCUACUGUUUUUUUCUGCUCUGGCUCGGUUAUUUCAUUUAGCCGAGCCAUUCAUUCCUUUUUCUGAAUGAAAGAUAAGGGGACAGAAUAAAGAAAAAAAAAUGAAAGAAACAAACGUAUUCAAUAAGCAAAAGGAGAGAGAGGGAUUCGAACCCUCGAUAGUUCCUAGAACUAUACCGGUUUUCAAGACCGGAGCUAUCAACCACUCAGCCAUCUCUCCACAGCUUAAUCCCUAUUUUACUCCUAGAAAUAGAACACAGCCAUAUGCUCCUGUAUAAGGAGCGAGGUAUUGUAAUGUAGCAGGUGAAUCCGCCAUUUCAGCAACUACAAUAGUGUAUUCCAUGGCUCCCUCCUCAU
rnacentral:lncRNA from 1 species